rnacentral:lncRNA from 1 species
ACAACAACAACAACAACAACCGUUGAGCCAGGUCUCCUUCCAGCAGCCUCAGCAACAAUAUCCAUCAGGCCAGGGCUCCUUCCAGCCAUCUCAGCAAAACCCACAGGCCCAGGGCUCUUUCCAGCCUCAACAACUGCCCCAGUUUGAGGAAAUAAGGAACCUAGCGCUACAGACGCUACUUGCAAUGUGCGAUGUCUAUAUCCCUCCAUAUUGCACCAUUGCUCCAUUUGGCAUCUUUGGUACUAACUGAGAAGAGAAGAACUCUAGUAGUAGAUAUAUGAUACACCGUUUUCUUAGUCCAUGGUUUGGUCGUUGUAGCGGUGAAAAAAUAAAGUGACAUGCACUAUCAUGUAAGAACCCGAACUAUACUAGUUCAAACUUGGGAAUAAAAGACAAACACAGGUCUUGUCUACAUAUGAUUGUUUGUUUGAGUUCCACUCAUGUGCCCAUUCACAAGUUCACCCCUAAUUAUAUAUAUUAUGCAUUAAGUAGAUAUUUAUGUUGCAUUAAUCUAAAGAUAACAAAAUGAGUCUGAAAUUUGAAUUAAAUUGAAGUAUUUCCUUGGACUUUCAAAUGGAGUAUUAUUAAAGUAGUAAGGACUAUCCUCAUCCUUGGCUUGCCCUUGAUCAAUUAUUUCCAGAGAAGCAUUCAAUUCGUCAAUCAAUUACAUUGAUUUUUGCAGCCGGUACUUCUCCUCAACAUGAGUAUAUUCAUCGCGGCUACUCCAAAUCGGCAUGAAUGAGGUACCGGUGCUCUGGAGCACUAGUACCUAACAGCUUCUCAUGUGAAGGGGUGCGGGCACGGGAGAGGUGUUUUUGGUGGGCCAGGGGAGUAAGAAGCGGCCGUGGCAGCGGUGCAGACACCCACAAAGCCCCGUAGUUUGUUUUUCGUUUACAGGAAAAUGCACAUCCAGACCGGCCUGCGGGCCGAUAUAGGACCGUAUUGGAUGGCAAAACAUGUCCGGAUGGUUGCGAGCGGUUUGAGGGUUAGCUUUUGUAACGCCCGGUUAGUUAUGCUAUUGUAAUUCCCUGCUAAUGAUGUCACGUAACCACGAUUACUAUUGUUAACCUCACAAUGAUUCAAUCCCAUUCAAAUUCAAAUUUAAAAUAAAGGCAAACAUCAAAAUUUCCAAACAUUAAAACUUAAAUCUUCGAGAGGUGGAAAAUAAUGCAUAAGUAAUUAUGGUGGAGAAACCACACUUUUAUAAAAUGUUUAAAUACUGUAAAAGAAUAAACAGUGGCUUAAACUAUUAUUUAAAUCCUUUUAAAAUAGUAAAAAUGUUCUAACUAAAUUAAUUGGGUACCAAACUUUUGGUGGCAGUGGUAUAUUUAGUAGAACUAAUUUAGAUGCUAAUUAUAUAAUUUACAAAAUUAAAGUAAAUUGAAAAAUAGGAUAAAACAUAAAAGGAAAGACAAAAUAAAUAAAAGCAAAAGGGGGCAACCCCUCGCUGGGCCUCGGCCUAACUGGCCACUGGGCUAGCUAGGCCGGCCCAGCCGCCUCCCUUAACCCCCCACUCCCCAUCGAACCCUGGCCCGAUCGCCCCACUUCCCCCACACCCCGUCGUCAGCCUCCCCACCUGUCGAUCCCAUCUGGAUCGGGGAGGGGAUCGCCCCCAUCAACCCCGUCGCCGUCUCCGGAUCGCCCGCUCGCCCAUCGCCCGCCGGAGUCGCCGGGCCUCCUCCCUGCCGCCCGUCUCCGGCUCGCCUCCUCUCUCGCUCCUCUUCCCUGACCCAAUCUGGAUCGGGAAGGGGCAAUGCGCCCGACGCCCCCCUUCACCGACGCCGUGCGCCAACACCGCCGCCCGAAGACCUCGCCGUCACCGGACCUCGCGUCGCCUCCUCGUAUCCCUCCCCGCCUCGCCUCAAGCCAUGACGACCCCCUUCUCGGCAACGCUGUGAGCCGCCCCCGUUUCCCUCCUCCUCUUUCCACCGCGUUCACAGCGUCGCCCGCCGUGCCCCUCGCCGCGCGCUCGCCCACCACCGCGCCAGCCCCGGUCCGCGCCCUCUCCUGCAUGCUUGCGUGCGCAUGACCCUAGCCGCGCCUGCGCCGUGAUCCCCUUAUCCNNNNNNNNNNNNNNNNNNNNNNNNNNNNNNNNNNNNNNNNNNNNNNNNNNNNNNNNNNNNNNNNNNNNNNNNNNNNNNNNNNNNNNNNNNNNNNNNNNNNNNNNNNNNNNNNNNNNNNNNNNNNNNNNNNNNNNNNNNNNNNNNNNNNNNNNNNNNNNNNNNNNNNNNNNNNNNNNNNNNNNNNNNNNNNNNNNNNNNNNNNNNNNNNNNNNNNNNNNNNNNNNNNNNNNNNNNNNNNNNNNNNNNNNNNNNNNNNNNNNNNNNNNNNNNNNNNNNNNNNNNNNNNNNNNNNNNNNNNNNNNNNNNNNNNNNNNNNNNNNNNNNNNNNNNNNNNNNNNNNNNNNNNNNNNNNNNNNNNNNNNNNNNNNNNNNNNNNNNNNNNNNNNNNNNNNNNNNNNNNNNNNNNNNNNNNNNNNNNNNNNNNNNNNNNNNNNNNNNNNNNNNNNNNNNNNNACCAAGACCCACAUCCCCUAAUUAACCAUUUAAUAAAUUUAAACUCUUAAAUUAACAUUAGUGUAUGACAUGUGGGUCCCCUAUUAAUUAAACUAAUUUAAUUAAAAUCUAUUAACUUCAAGUCUAUGACAUAUGGGCCCCACUGAACAUUUGACCAGUCAACGGUCCAGUCAAAUGUUGACCGGAUAGUUGACCAGAGGGCCCCACCAGUCAGCCUCUGUGCUGUUCUCCUGGGUACCUUUCUGAGUACACCUAGCAUUUUGCAUUUACAAUAUUUGUUUUAAAAUAAAUUAGAAUAAUUUCAAAAAAAUGAUUGAAACUUUUAAAAUUAAAAAAAAUUAUCCGUAACUCGGAUGAAAUUACUUUAUACAUGGAAGUUGCUCAAAAAAUGAGACGAAUCCUAAUACACAGUCCGUUCUUCUGCCACACGUCCCUAGCAUAGCGAACAUGCAACCACCCCCCUCCGGUUCGACUGUCCGAAAAUGUCAAACACCGGGAAUACUUUUCCGGAUGUUUCCCCUUCACUAGUAGCACCUAGUACCGCGUGAGGCAUACCUAGCACCACUUAUUGUAAUGUCAUGCAUCGUCAUGCAUCUGUUUGCAUUGUAUUCAUUGUUUCUUGCUCCUCUUCUCUCCGGUAGACUACGAGACUGACGCCGGUGCUGCCCCGGUCGAUUACGGUGUCCAUGACCCCUCCUUGUCAGCAGAGCUUCCAGGCAAGCAAACCCCCUUGAUCAUCCCGAUAUCGCCUACUCUUUCCUCUACUGCUUGCAUUAGAGUAUUGUUACUGUUUGUCGGUUUGAUCCUAUACUGCUGCAUGGCCUGUCUUUGAUACUACUUAUGUGUUAUUUGUUAGUACGCUUGGAGAAAAUGCCUUUGAUUAGGGCAUCUUCAACAGCGACCAGUAAAUUUCCUCCCGCGUUCGUCCACGAAUAGGGGAUCAGUCCGCGGACACGGAUACAGGAAUUGGCCAUCCAACAAUGUCCGCAUAUAUUUAAAACACUUAAAAAAUAGGAUGAAAUUCAUGCAAACACAGUGGAUUUCAUACAAACCGGACAAAAAUGUUUACAUUUUGGACAUUUUUUUUUUACUAAAAACUCUACAGCCGGUGCCGGCGAAUAUCCACUCCGGCAACAUGGAUACCCUUGACUAGUCUACUGCCGGCCGCAGCAGAUCUCCAAUGUCGUCCCCAUGUUCGGCAGCUGUGAGCCCUAGAGGUAUAUGCUUCAGCGCAAAGAGCGGCUCGCCUCCUACCGCUCAUCGGAGUGGAACAACCAGUUGAUGCUUCUGCCGAUGGGGAAGGGUCCCUACGCUACACGAAUUAGAGUUGGUUUUGGGUUGGGGGAACGGCGGUGGCCUGUCAGAGGGCAAGACACCGACUGUGUACGCUGGUGUCACCUGGUGUGGCAUUCAUGGGACCCAAGCGGCAGCGCCUCCUCAAUGAUGGCAGCGAGCGCGGACGUGUUGGACACCACCUCGUCGAUGUCCGUGCAGCCCGCUUCUUUCUCUGUAGGAAGGACGCGGUUACGCUCGCGUUGACAUCGGAUGACUCGGUCACAUGCACGAGAGGGGCGGUACAACAUGGCACCGUCAAUGGCAGCCAUGAUGCCCGCGCCACCGUGGUCCCUCCCAGUGCCGACCUGGAGCAACUUGCCACUCCUCGGCUCGUGACCGGCGGGCUUUACGGGCCACCUAGCCAUUUUUUAUGCCAGCCAACUCUUCUUCCUGCUCGUCAGAUGUCAUGGAGAAAACUGUUCAAGGAGGAAAAUGAUGAGUGGACGUGUGAUGCGCUUCUUGCCCAACAUCUGACAUUGUUUAAAUAGCGAGGGGACACGAGAGGAGCCAACCGGCGUUCUGUUCAAUGCCAACUGGCUCGCGAACGAACAUGUGGCCGGAGUAAUUAUCCUGGCACACACGCGGGUUUAAUGGUGGAAGGCGGGCAGUCUGCAGGAAUGAGGUGAGGAUGCGUGUUUAGCCGGCGUGCAGCGGGCAGCGCCCUCGGCCGGCGUGCUGCUUCCAUUGCGGAGGUAGUGAGAGGUCGCGUCCGCUCUGCAGCGCAUGAAUGCGGGCAGCUGGCGCAGAGCGGGAACGCGUGCAUGGUUUGGGUGGGCACGGGUGGUGAGAAGAGGUCAUGGGUGUUGUCCGAACGCCUGGAAAGCCCCCCCUCCAUGUUUGUCUCCGGUUUACGGGAGAAAGUACGUCCGGACCGUUUGAUGGACCAAUACAGGCCCGCAUUGGAUGGCACAACACGUCCGGACCAUGUGGUCCGGAUGGUUGUGGACGGUUUAAUUGAGGGUCGACGUUGGAGAUGCCUUAGAGUUUAUGAAUCCAUUGUGUUUUUUAAUCAUAAAAAGCACUUAUAACAAGUUAUAAGGAAAGACACGUUUAUAUGUUAGGUUCGGACUCCAGCUUUCCUCUUACAUAUGCUUUAUUGUGAUCCGACUGAUUCCAAUAGAGUGAGCCUAGCGUUGUUUUUCUGGAAACUUGCGGGAUAAGGAGACAUGCAUACACAUUCAUUCAAGCAAAUCACAUCCAUUCUUUUUAACUCAUUUUUCUUCUUUUAAUAAUAUAAUAGAUCAUUUAUAUUUUUAUCUCAAACAGUUGACGUGUAAUUUAUACUGUAAUCUGAGGAUAAUGUUUGGAUUUACUUUCAAAUAUAUUUGAAAUGGCCAUGAUGGAAUCACAUCCAUUUAUUUUAUUAUUAUUUGAAUUUGAUCCAAAAGAUAAAUAAUGAGUAGAGGUCAUGUCAACUUUUCUGAGAACUUUGCUAAUCAAAAUAUAAUUUGUAUUUAAAAACAUCUUUUUAGCACGCAUGAAAAACAUAACGCCUAUCUUUUCACACAUGAUGAACGGUUGUCAUAAGAACUCAUGGCAUGCCACAAGCUCCCUCCGACCCUGCCAACAUUGUUACAGCUGCACUCGCAAGCUUUAUCGUAGAUGAUCAUUUAUACGAUUUGCGUAAAUCAAAAUAAGAUCUACAAACGAAUAGAAGCUAGAACGUACCUUGGCAUGCACACACAUUGCAAGCCAUACUAAGCUGAUAAGUGUUAAUAACUUCUACAACAUAUACAACACUUAAGACAAGUAAAAGCAAUUUGAUGAGUCAUGGUCUAUCAAAGGCACAUUACUAGUCUAAUCCAUCUUAACAGGUCACACAUGAUUAAAACCUUGUUUGUGUGCAAGUCAAGCUUAUCUAGUUUACAUGUAACAACUUGUAGAACAUUACAAAAUUUAUGUUUGCUAAUAACCUCUAGAACACUACAACACUUGACAUGUAAAAGGAAUUUGAUGAGUCAUGGCCUACUAAAGCAAGUUAUAUUACUAGUCUUAUCUACCUUAACAGGCCACACAAGAUUACAAACUAAGUUCUGUGCUAGCCAUGCUUAUCUAGUUUAUGCGUAACAAUUUGCAGAAAAUUACAAACUUAGUUUCAGAAAAAUAGGCAAUCUAGAUUAGUGUUUGAGCUGUAAAGUGAAUAAGAUGAGUCAUGUGUGUUAUCACACCUUUUUGGUUGUGGAAUAAUAGUGCAACAACAAGGAACUUUAAUGACCAGUCCAAGAAUACACUUGUAAGUAGUGCCACCGAACACAACAUGCCAAAUUUUGAUUUUGAGAAGCAUCCAAACACUUCCACACAAGCAAAUGCCAAUUGUGAAAGAGAUCAUGCCAUGGCAGCUAUAAAUAGGCCCGUAGCAUGACGAUCAUCCUUCCUCAUCCAUCAUUCUCAUAAGUAGAGCGCAUCAUUUAAGCCAAGCAAGCAGUGCUCAAUACAAAUCCACCAUGAAGACCUUUCUCAUCCUUGCCCUCCUUGCUAUUGUGGCGACCACCGCCACAACUGCAGUUAGAGUUCCAGUGCCACAAUUGCAGCUACAAAAUCCAUCUCAGCAACAGCCACAAGAGCAAGUUCCAUUGGUACAAGAACAACAAUUUCCAGGGCAGCAACAACCAUUUCCACCACAACAGCCAUAUCCGCAGCCGCAACCAUUUCCAUCACAACAACCAUAUCUGCAGCUGCAACCAUUUCCACAGCCGCAACUACCAUAUCCGCAGCCGCAACCAUUUCGACCACAACAACCAUAUCCACAGCCGCAACCACAGUAUUCGCAACCACAACAACCAAUUUCGCAGCAGCAGCAGCAGCAGCAGCAACAACAACAACAACAACAACAAAUCCUACAACAAAUUUUGCAACAACAACUGAUUCCAUGCAGGGAUGUUGUAUUGCAACAACACAACAUAGCGCAUGGAAGCUCACAAGUUUUGCAAGAAAGUACUUACCAGCUGGUGCAACAAUUGUGUUGUCAGCAGCUGUGGCAGAUCCCCGAGCAGUCGCGGUGCCAAGCCAUCCACAAUGUUGUUCAUGCUAUUAUUCUGCAUCAACAACACCACCACCACCAACAACAACAACAACAACAACAACAACAACCGUUGAGCCAAGUCUCCUUCCAACAGCCUCAGCAACAAUAUCCAUCAGGCCAGGGCUUCUUCCAACCAUCUCAGCAAAACCCACAGGCCCAGGGCUCUUUCCAGCCUCAACAACUGCCCCAGUUUGAGGCAAUAAGGAACCUAGCGCUACAGACGCUACCUGCAAUGUGCAAUGUGUAUAUCCCUCCAUAUUGCACCAUUGCUCCAUUUGGCAUCUUCGGUACUAACUGAGAAGAGAAGAACUCUAGUAGUAGAUAUAUGAUACACCGUUUUCUUAGUCCAUGGUUUGGUCGUUGUAGCGGUGAAAAAAUAAAGUGACAUGCACUAUCAUGUAAGAACCUGAACUAUACUAGUUCAAACUUGGGAAUAAAAGACAAACACAGGUCUUGUCUACAUAUGAUUGUUUGUUUGAGUUCCACUCAUGUGCCCAUUCACAAGUUCACCCCUAAUUAUAUAUAUUAUGCAUUAAGUAGAUAUUUAUGUUGCAUUAAUCUAAAGAUAACAAAAUGAGUCUGAAAUUUGAAUUAAAUUGAAGUAUUUCCUUGGACUUUCAAAUGGAGUAUUAUUAAAGUAGUAAGGACUAUCCACAUCCUUGGCUUGCCCUUGAUCAAUUAUUUGCUGAGAAGCAUUCAAUUCGUCAAUCAAUUACAUUGAUUUUUGUGGCUGGUACUUCUCCUCAACAUGAGUAUAUUCAUCGUGGCUACUCCAAAUCGGCAUGAAUGAGGUACCGGUGCUCUGGAGCACUAGUACCUAACAGCUUCUCAUGUGAAGGGGUGCGGGCACGGGAGAGGUGUUUUUGGUGGGUCAAGGGAGUAAGAAGCGGCCGUGGCAGCGGUCCAGACGCCCACAAAGCCUCGUAGUUUGUUUUUGGUUUACAGGAAAAUGCACAUCCAGACUGGCCUGCGGGCCGAUAUAGGACCGUAUUGGAUGGCAAAACAUGUCCAGAUGGUUGUGAGCGGUUUGAGGGUUAGCUUUUGUAACGCCCGGUUAGUUAUGCUAUGGUAGUUCCCUGCUAAUGAUGUCACGUCACCACGAUUACUGUUGUUAACCUCACAAUGAUUCAAUCCCAUUCAAAUCCAAAUUUAAAAUAAAGGCAAACAUCAAAAGUUUCAAACAUUAAAACUAAAAUCUUCGAGAGGUGAAAAAUAAUGCAUAAGUAAUUAUGGUGGAGAAACCACACUUUUAUAAAAUGUUUAAAUACUCUAAAAGGAAUAAAACAGUGGCUUAAACUAUUAUUUAAAUGCUUUUAAAAUAGUAAAAAUGUUCUAACUAAAUUAAUUGGGUACCAAACUUUUGGUGGCAGUGGUAUAUUUAGUAGAAAAAAUUUAGAUGCUAAUUAUAUAAUUUACAAAAUUAAAGUAAAUUAAAAAAUAGGAUAAAACAUAAAAGGAAAGACAAAACAAAUAAAAGCAAAAGGGGGCAACCCCUCACUGAGCCUCGGCCUAGCUGGCCACUAGGCUAGCUAGGCCGGCCCAGCCGCCUCCCUUAACCCCCCACUCCCCAUCGAACAAUAGCCCGAUCGCCCCACUUCCCCCACACCCCCUCGUCAGCCUCCCCACCUCUCGAUCCCAUCUGGAUCGGGGAGGGGAUCGCCCCCAUCGACCCCGUCGCCAUCGCCGGAUCACCCGCUCGCCCAUCGCCCGCCGGCGUCGCCGGGCCUCCUCCCCGCCGCCCGUCUCCGGCUCUCCUCCCCUCUCGCUCCUCUUCCCCGACCCGAUAUGGAUCGAGAAGGGGCAAUGAGCCCGACGCCCCCCUCCACCGACGUUGUGCGCCAGCACCGCCACCCGAAGACCUCGUCGUCGCCGGACCUCGCGUCGCCUCCUCGUAUCUCUCCCCGACUCGCCUCCUCAAGCCACGCCGACCCCCUUCUCGGCAACGCUGUGAGCCGCCCCCGUUUCCCUCCUUCUCUUUCCACCGUGUUUGAUAAGUCUCCAACGUAUCUAUAAUUUUUGAUUGUUCCAUGCUAUAUUAUAUUCUGUUUUGGAUGAUUAAUGGGAUUUAUUAUACACUUUUAUAUUAUUUUUGGGACUAACCUAUUAACCGGAGGCCCAGCCCAAAUUGCUGUUUUUUUGCCUAUUUCAGUGUUUCGCAGAAAAAGAAUAUCAAACGGAGUCCAAACGGAAUGAAACCUUCGGGAAUGUGAUUUUCGGAACAAACGUGAUCCAGAGGACUUGGAGUGGACGUCAAGCAACAGACGAGGAAGCCACGAGGUAGGGGCGCGCCUACCCUCCUGGGCGCGCCCUCCACCCUCAUGGGCCCCUCGUGGCUCCACUGACCUACUUCUUCCUCCUAUAUAUACCUACGUACCCCCAAACCAUCAGAAGCGACCACAAAAACCUAAUUCCACCGCCGCAACCUUCUGUACCCGUGAGAUCCCAUCUUAGGGCCUUUUCCGGCGUCCUGCCGGAGGGGGCAUUGAUCACGGAGGGCUUCUACAUCAACACCAUAGCCUCUCCGAUGAUGUGUGAGUAGUUUACCUCAGACCUUCGGGUCCAUAGUUAUUAGCUAGAUGGCUUCUUCUCUCUCUUUGGAUCUCAAUACAAAGUUCUCCUCGUUUCUCUUGGAGAUCUAUUUGAUGUAACUCUUCUUUUUGCGGUGUGUUUGUCGAGAUCCGAUGAAUUGUGGGUUUAUGAUCAAGAUUAUCUAUGAACAAUAUUUGAAUCUCCUCUGAAUUCUUUUAUGUAUGAUUGGUUAUCUUUGCAAGUCUCUUCGAAUUAUCAGUUUGGUUUGGCCUACUAGAUUGAUCUUUCUUGCAAUGGGAGAAGUGCUUAGCUUUGGGUUCAAUCCUGCGGUGUCCUUUCCCAGUGACAGCAGGGGCAGCAAGGCACGUAUUGUAUUGUUGCCAUCGAGGAUAAAAAGAUGGGGUUUAUAUCAUGUUGCAUGAGUUUAUCCCUCUACAUCAUGUCAUCUUGCUUAAAGCGUUACUCUGUUUUUAUGAACUUAAUACUCUAGAUGCAUGCUGGAUAGCGGUCGAUGUGUGGAGUAAUAGUAGUAGAUGCAGAAUCGUUUUGGUCUACUUGUCACGGACGUGAUGCCUAUAUACAUGAUCAUACCUAGAUAUUCUCAUAACUAUGCUCAAUUCUAUCAAUUGCUCGACAGUAAUUCGUUUACCCACCAUAAUACUUAUGCUCUUGAGAGAAGCCACUAGUGAAACCUAUGGCCCCCGGGUCUAUUUUCCAUCAUAUUAAUCUUCCGUCAACAAGCUAUUUCUAUCUUUAUUUACCUUGUAAUCUUUACUUUUACUCUUUAUCAUAAAAAUACCAAAAAUAUUAUCUUAUCAUCUCUAUCAGAUCUCACUCUCGUAAGUGACCGUGAAGGGAUUGACAACCCCUUUAUCGCGUUGGUUGCGAGGUUCUUAUUUGUUUGUGUAGGUGCGUGGGACUUGAGUGUGGCCUCCUACUGGAUUGAUACCUUGGUUCUCAAAAACUGAGGAAAAUACUUACGCUACUUUACUGCAUCACCCUUUCCUCUUCAAGGGAAAACCAACGCAGUGCUCAAGAGGUAGCAAGAAGGAUUUCUAGCACCGUUGCCGGGGAGUCUACGCACAAGUCAAGACAUACCAAGUACCCGUCACAAACUCUUAUCCCUCGCAUUACAUUAUUUGCCAUUUGCCUCUCGUUUUCCUCUCCCCCACUUCACCCUUGCCGUUUUAUUCGCCUCCUUUUCGUUUGCUUCUUGUUUGCUCGUGUGUUGGAUUGCUUGUUUGUCGCGAUGGCUCUACCUAGAUUUGGUGAUCUUCCAUUAAAAGGUUAGAAGAGAUUGAAAGCAACGUCAGAAGUUUCAUGACUUUACAAUUUGAGCAUAACAAUUUCUUUAGAAACGAGCUUAAGGAACAAAAAAGCUUUAUGGGUUACAUGAAUAAAGAGCUCGACGAUAUGUCUAAGGAAUUUUAUGGUCUAAAAUCUUAGAUUUCUCAUCUCGAAAAAUUAAUUGCUGAAAUUUCGGAUAAGCAGGCCACCUUAGUUAAUAAGAUGGCCGCUAAACCGGUAAUUUUUUAUGAGAAUAAAGAUGAAGAUCUAAAAGUUAUUGAUGUGUCCCCUAUUAAAUCUUAGUUUUGCAAUAUGAAUCUUGAUAAUGAUGGGACUGGAGAUGAGUCAACUUUAGUUAAAAGGCGUCCCAAAAAUUCGGAGUUUUUAGAUCUUGAUGCAAAAUUUGGUAAAAGUGGGAUUGAAGAGGUCAAAACUUUAGAUAUCAAUGAACCCACUAUCUUGGAUUUCAAGGAAUUUAAUUAUGAUAAUUGCUCUUUGAUAUAUUUUAUUUCCUUGUUGCAAUCCGUGUUAAAUUCUCCUCAUGCUUAUAGUCAAAAUAAAGCUUUUACUAAACAUAUCGUUGUUGCUUUGAUGCAAUCUUAUGAAGAAAAACUUGAGUUGGAAGUUUCUAUCCCUAGAAAACUUUAUGAUGAAUGGGAACCUACAAUUAAAAUUAAAAUUAAAGAUCAUGAAUGCUAUGCUUUGUGUGAUUUGGGUGCUAGUGUUUCCACGAUCCCAAAAACUUUGUGUGAUUUGCUAGGUUUCCGUGAAUUUGAUGAUUGUUCUCUAAAUUUGCAUCUUGCGGAUUCCACCAUCAAGAAACCUAUGGGAAGAAUUAAUGAUGUUAUUAUUGUUUCAAAUAGGAACUAUGUGCCCGUAGAUUUUAUUGUUCUUGAUAUAGAUUACAAUCCUUCAUGUCCUAUUAUUUUUGGUAGACCUUUCCUUAGAACGAUUGGUGCAAUUAUUGAUAUGAAAGAAGGAAAUAUUAGAUUCCAAUUUCCGUUAAGGAAAGGUAUGGAACACUUUCCUAGAAAGAAAAUAAAAUUACCUUAUGAAUCUAUUAUGAGAGCUACUUAUGGAUUGCCUACCAAAGAUGGCAAUACCUAGAUCUAUCCUCGCUUUUAUGCCUAGCUAGGGGCGUUAAAUGGUAGCGCUUGUUGGGAGGCAACCCAAAUUUUAUUUUAGUUUUUUUGCUUUUUUGCUUCUGUUUAGGAAUAAAUCUUUGAUCUAGACUCUGGUUAGACUUGUUUUUAUGUUUUAAUUAGUGUUUGUGCCAAGUUAAACCUAUAGGAUCUUCUUGGAUGAUAGUUAUUUGAUCUUGCUGAAAAUUCCAGAAACUUUCUGUUCACGAAAACAAUUGUUAAAAAUCACCAGAACGUGAUAAAAUACUGAUUCUAAUUGCAGUAGAUCAAUAAACAAAUUAUCUAGGUCUUCCUAUUUUGGUAGAUUUUUCUGAGUUACAUAAGUUUGUGUUAGUUACAGAUUACUACAGACUGUUCUGUUUUUGACAGAUUCUGUUCUUCGUGUGUUGUUUGCUUAUUUUGAUGAAUCUAUGGCUAGUAAAAUAGUUUAUAAACCAUAGAUAAGUUGGAAUACAUUAGGUUUAACACCAAUAUAAAUAAAGAAUGAGUUCAAUACAGUACCUUGAAGUGGUGUUUUGUUUUCUUUCGCUAACGGAGCUCACGAGAUUUUCUGUUAAGUUUUGUGUUGUGAAGUUUUCAAGUUUUGGGUAAAGAUUUGAUGGAUUAUGGAACAAGGAGUGGCAAGAGCCUAAGCUUGGGGACGCCCAAGGCACCCCAAGGUAAAUCUAAGGACACCAAAAAUCCAAAGCUUGGGGAUGCCCCGGAAGGUAUCCACUCUUUCGUCUUCGUCCAUCGGUAACUUUACUUGGAGCUAUAUUUUUAUUCACCACAUGAUAAGUGUUUUGCUUGGAGCGUCUUGUAUGAUUUGAGUAUUUGCUUUUUAGUUUACCACAUUCAUACUUGCUGUACACACCUUUUGAGAGAGACACACAUGAUUCAGAAUUUAUUAGAAUACUCUAUGUGCUUCACUUAUAUCUUUUGAGCUAUAUAGUUUUUGCUCUAGUGCUUCACUUAUAUCUUUUAGAGCACGGUGGUGGUUUUGUUUUAUAGAAACUAUUUUUCUCUCAUGCUUCACUUAUAUCAUUUUGAGAGUCCUACAUAACAGCAUGGUAAUUUGCUUAAAUUGAGAAAUUAGUCCUAAUAUGAUAGGCAUCCAAGAUUAGUAAAAACUUUCUUAUAAGUGCGUUGAAUACUAAGAAAAGUUUGAUGCUUGAUGAUUGUUUUGAGAUAUGGAGGUAGUGAUAUUAAAGUUGUGCUAGUUGAGUAGUUUUGAAUUUGAGAAAUACUUGCGUUGAAGUUUGCAAGUCCCGUAGCAUGCACGUAUGGUAAACGUUGUGUAACAAAUUUGAAACAUGAGGUGUUCUUUGAUUGUCCUCCUUAUGAGUGGCGGUCGGGGACGAGUGAUGGUCUUUUCCUACCAAUCUAUCCCCCUAGGAGCAUGCGCGUAGUGCUUGGUUUUUGAUGACUUGUAGAUUUUUGCAAUAAGUAUGUGAGUUCUUUAUGACUAAUGUUGAGUCCAUGGAUUAUACGCACUCUCACCCUUCCAUCAUUGCUAGCAUCUUCGGUACCGUGCAUUGCCCUUUCUCACCUUGAGAGUUGGUGCAAAUUUCGCCGGUGCAUCCAGACCCCGUGAUACGAUACGCUCUGUCACACAUAAACCUCCUUAUAUCUUCCUCAAAACAGCCACCAUACCUACCUGUUAUGGCAUUUCCAUAGCCAUUCCGAGAUAUAUUGUCAUGCAACUUUCCACCGUUCCGUUUAUCAUGACACGUUUCAACAUUGUCAUAUUGCCUUGCAUGAUCAUGUAGUUGACAUCGUAUUUGUGGCAAAGCCACCGUUCAUAAUUUUUCAUACAUGUCACUCUUGAUUCAUUGCCCAUCCCGGUACACCGCCGGAGGCAUUCAUAUAGAGUCAUACUUUGUUCUAGUAUCGAGUUGUAAUCAUUGAGUUAUAAAUAAAUAGAAGUGUGAUGAUCAUCAUUCAUAGAGCAUUGUCCCAAAAAAAGGAGAAAGGCCAAAUGAAAAAAAGGCCCAAAAAAAGGGGCAAUGUUACUAUCCUUUUUCCAUACUUGUGCUUCAAAGUAGCACCAUGGUCUUUAUGAUAGAGAGUCUCUUGUUUUGUCACUUUCAUAUACUAGUGGGAAUUUUUCAUUAUAGAACUUGGCUUGUAUAUUCCCACAAUGGGCUUCCUCAAAUGCCCUAGGUCUUCGUGAGCAAGCAAGUUGGAUGCACACCCACUUAGUUUCUUUUGUUGAGCUUUCAUGCAUUUAUAGCUCUAGUGCAUCCGUUGCAUGGCAAUCCCUACUCCUUGCAUUGACAUCAAUCGAUGGGCAUCUCCCUAGCUCGUUGAUUAGCCGCGUCAAUGUGAGACUUUCUUUUCUUUUUUUCUUCUCCACAUAACCCCCAUCAUCAUAUUAUAUUCCACCCAUAGUGUUAUAUCCAUGGCUCACGCUCAUAUAUUGCGUGAAAGUUGAAUUUUUUUUGAGAUUACUAAAGUAUGAAACAAUUGCUUGGCUUGUAAUCGGGGUUGUGCAUGAUGAGAGCAUUCUUGUGUGACGAAAAUGGGGCAUGACCAAACUAUAUGAUUUUGUAGGGAUGAACUUUCUUUGGCCAUGUUAUUUUGAGAAGACAUAAUUGCUUAGUUAGUAUGCUUGAAGUAUUAUUACUUUUAUGUCAAUAUUAAACUUUUAUCUUGAAUCUUUCGGAUCUGAAUAUUCAUACCACAAAUAAGAGAAUUACAUUGAAAAUUAUGCUAAGUAGCAUUCCACAUCAAAAAUUCUGUUUUUAUCAUUUACCUACUCGAGGACGAGCAGGAAUUAAGCUUGGGGAUGCUUGAUACGUCUCCAACGUAUCUAUAAUUUUUGAUUGUUCCAUGCUAUAUUAUAUUCUGUUUUGGAUGAUUAAUGGGCUUUAUUAUACACUUUUAUUAUUUUUGGGACUAACCUAUUAACCGGAGGCCCAGCCCAAAUUGUUGUAUUUUUUGCCUAUUUUAGUGUUUCGCAGAAAAAGAAAAUCAAACGGAGUCCAAACGGAAUGAAACCUUCGGGAACGUGAUUUUCGGAACAAAUGUGAUCCAGAGGACUUGGAGUGGACGUCAAGGAACAGACGAGGAAGCCAUGAGGUAGGGGGGCGCGCCUACCCCCUGGGCGCGCCCUCCACCCUCGUGGCUCCACCGACCUACUUCUUCCUCCUAUAUAUACCUACGUACCCCCAAACCAUCAGAAGCGACCAUGAAAACCUAAUUCCACCACCGCAACCUUCUAUACCCCUGAGAUCCCAUCUUGGGGCCUUUUCCGGCGUCCUGCCGGAGGGGGCAUUGAUCACGGAGGGCUUCUACAUCAACACCAUAGCCUCUCCGAUGAUGUGUGAGUAGUUUACCUCAGACCUUCGGGUCCAUAGUUAUUAGCUAGAUGGCUUCUUCUCUCUCUUUGGGUCUCAAUACAAAGUUCUCCUCGUUUCUCUUGGAGAUCUAUUUGAUGUAACUCUUCUUUUUGCGGUGUGUUUGUCGAGAUCCGAUGAAUUGUGGGUUUAUGAUCAAGAUUAUCUAUGAACAAUAUGUGAAUCUCCUAUGAAUUCUUUUAUGUAUGAUUGGUUAUCUUUGCAAGUCUCUUCGAAUUAUCAGUUUGGUUUGGCCUACUAGAUUGAUAUUUCUUGCAAUGGGAAAAGUGCUUAGCUUUGGGUUCAAUCUUGCGGUGUCCUUUCCCAGUGACAGCAGGGGCAGCACGGCACAUAUUGUAUUGUUGCCAUCGAGGGUAAAAAGAUGGGGUUUAUAUCAUAUUGCAUUAGUUUAUCCCUCUACAUCAUGUCAUCUUGCUUAAAGCGUUACUCUGUUCUUACGAACUUAAUGCUCUAGAUGCAUGCUGGAUAGCGGUCGAUGUGUGGAGUAAUAGUAGUAGAUGCAGAAUCGUUUCGGUCUACUUGUCACGGACGUGAUGCCUAUAUACAUGAUCAUACCUAGAUAUUCUCAUAACUAUACUCAAUUCUAUCAAUUGCUCGACAGUAAUUCGUUUACCCACCGUAAUACUUAUGCUCUUGAGAGAAGCCACUAUUGAAACCUAUGGCCCCCGGGUCUAUUUUCCAUCAUAUUAAUCUUCCGUCAACAAGCUAUUUCUAUCUUUAUUUACCUUGCAAUCUUUACUUUUACUCUUUAUCAUAAAAAUACCAAAAAAAAUUAUCUUAUCAUCUCUAUCAGAUCUCACUCUCGUAAGUGACCGUGAAGGGAUUGACAACCCCUUUAUCGCGUUGGUUGCGAGGUUCUUAUAUAUUUGUGUAGGUGCGUGGGACUUGAGUGUGGCCUCCUACUGGAUUGAUACCUUGGUUCUCAAAAACUGAGGGAAAUAAUUACACUACUUUACUGCAUCACCCUUUCCUCUUUAAGGGAAAACCAACGCAGUGCUCAAGAGGUAGCAGUGUUCACCGCGCCGCCCGCCGUGCCCCUCGCCGCGCGCACGCCCACCACCGCGCCAGCCCCCGCUCAGCGCCCUCUCCUGCACGCUUGUGCGCGCAUGACCCUAGCCACGCCCGCGCCGUGAUCCCCUUGUUCGGCCCGCCUUCGUCCCGCGCUCGCCGCGGCCCCCAUGCUCCCCCGUGCCAUCUUCUAGGGGCGUCGGCUGCCCCUGUCCCGCUGCUCGCUGCCACGCCUCGCCCGCCCGCGCCUCGCCACCGCUCUACUGCUACGCUAAUAUUGCGCUGUGGCCGCCGCCGCUUCCCGCUGCUCUGCCAGCGCCGAAGCUCCCGGUUGGCUCCGCCGCUGCUCACGUUUUACCGCCCCUAAACGGCCUACCCCCCCCCUCGCUAAUGAACCCCCACUGACCCGCUGACACCGGGACCCACAUCCCCUAAUUAACCAUUUAAUAAAUUAAAAAUCUUAAAUUAACAUUAGUGUAUGACAUGUGGGUCCCCUAUUAAUUAAACUGAUUUAAUUAAAAUCUAUUAACAUUGAGUCUGUGACAUAUGGGCCCCACUAAACAUUUGACCAGUCAACGGUCUAGUCAAAUGCUGACCGGACAGUUGACCAGAGGGCCCCACCAGUCAGCCUCUGUGCUGUUCUGCUGGGUACCUUUCUAAGUACACCUAGCAUUUUGCAUUUACAAUAUUUGUUUUAAAAUAAAUUAGAAUAAUUUCAAAAAAAGAUUAAAACUUUUAAAAUUAAAAUAAAAUAAUCCGUAACUCGGAUGAAAUUACUUUAUACAUGCAAGUUGCUCAAAAAACGAGACGAAUCCGAAUACACAGUCCGUUCGUCUGCCACACGUCCCUAGCAUAGCAAACAUGCAACCAUCCCCCUCCGGUUCGACUGUCCGAAAAUGUCAGACACGGGAAAUACUUUUCCGGAUUUUCCCCUUCACCAUUAGCACCUAGUACCGCGUGAGGGCAUACCUAGCACCACUUAUUGUAAUGUCAUGCAUCGUCAUGCAUCUGUUUGCAUUGUAUUCAUUGUUUCUUCCUCCUCUUCUCUCCGGUAGACUACGAGACCGACGUCGGUGCUGCCCCGGUCGACUACGGUGUCCAUGACCCCUCCUUGUAAGCAGAGCUUCCAGGCAAGCAAACCCCCUUGAUCAUCCCGAUAUCGCCUACUCUUUCCCUCUACUGCUUGCAUUAGAGUAUUGUUACUGUUUGUCGGUUUGAUCCUAUACUGCUGCAUGGCUUGUCUUUGAUACUACUUAUGUGUUAUUUGUGUAGAUUUGUCAAGGAAAAAUGAGUCUAUAGCCUAAUAAAUGAAGUGUUGCAUGUUACCACACAUAUGUUAAUCCCCACUAUAGAGUUAGUAACAUAGACUAGUAACAUGUGCAUGUUACUACCCAUUGUGGCCAGUCUAUGUUACCACUUUCCUCUCUUUCUUCAUUUAUUGCUUGCCACAUCAUCUAUUUUAUCUAGGUAUGUGUGAUAUUACUACCUAUGUUACUCCCACUGUGGGUAGUCUAAGCAGGCUAUAAGGAAUAGAAUAAUAUAUAUGUGCUUAUUAGUUGGAGGAAAGAGAAGAGAAGCGGGCUCUUGGUUAGUAGAGCCAGCUACAACAUGAGACCCAAGCACUUUGUGAGGAUGUAAGGUGGCCAACUAUUGAUAAACUAGUACGUAUAUAAAAAUUAUUAUUGCACAUGGCCGCUAAGAGGUUGGCUGUAUAUGACAUGACAACUUCUUAUAGCCGACCCUUGGCUGUAUUAUUAACCAUGCUCUUAGUGAGGUAGCUAGUAUAUCAUAGACGACUAGCUAGUAUCAGACUAGCCAAAGUGGGAGUAACUUCAGCAGUAACAUCGACUCCAACUCAGAAAACUUGCUUAUGUGGGAGUAAACCGUGCCCAAUGCAAAAUACAAUCCCAGUCAUAAUUUUUUCAGGAAACGUGUGGUAUCCCAAACGAAAAGUACAUGUCACUCUUGCGGCAACGAUACCCAAUAAAUCACAAACGGUCUGCAGCACUUGUAUGUGUGCGAAGAGGCUCCUGAACCGUUUGUGAUAGAACAUUAUCGUAGACGAUAAUUGUUGGCAAACGUGUGCGAUGGAGUCUAGCAUGGCAGACAGGUUACGCAGAAAACUCGUGUGCGAUGGGGCACAAAUCGCACACAGUUCAUAUGUUGGCCCGUGUGCCUUACAUACUAUUUCCCAAACGGUUUGUUACGACAGACCGUAUGGUUUCAGUGCGUCAUUAGAAACGCUUAAUCACCGAUACCACACGUGCGAAAGAAUUUAGUGUGUGCUUCAUCGCACACGAUUACAUUUUGGAAGGCCUCUGGAUCACUGCUCCAUAUCCCCGACGGUUUCUGGGUCGUGUGGGAAGUACACCCUAUCGCACACACUCACUUGGCGACGGUUCCAAAUGCCAUCGCGGAAAGGGGUUGAAAACAGUUUGUUUAGAACCGACGCGUACCAUUGUCUAUCUAUCUAUCUACCUAUCUAUCUAUCUAUCUAUCCAUCCAUCUAUCUAUCUAUCCAUCUAUCUAUCCACCUAUCCAUCUAUCCAUCUAUCUAUCUCUAUCCAUCUAUCUAUCUAUCCAUCUAUCCAUCUAUCUAUCCAUCUAUUUAUCUAUCUAUCUAUCUAUCUAUCUAUCUAUGUAUCCAUCGAUCCAUCUAUCCAUCCAUCGAUCCAUCUAUCCAUCCAUCUAUCUAUCCAUGCAUCCAUGUAUCCAUCUAUCGAUCUAUCCAUCUAUCCAUAUAUCGAUCUAUCCAUCUAUCUAUCCAUCUAUCCAUCUAUCCAUCUAUCGAUCUUUCCAUCUAUCGAUCUAUCCAUCUCUUCAUCUACCCAUCUAUCCAUCUAUCCAUCUACCGAUCUAUCUAUCCAUCUAUCUACCUACCUAUCUAUCUAGCUAUCUAGCUAUCUAUCUAUCUAUCCAUCCAUCUGUCCAUCCAUCCAUCUAUCUACCUACCUACCUACCUACCUACCUACCUAUCUAUCUAUAUAUCUAUCUAUCUAUCUAUCUAUCUAUCUAUCUAAAGGAAAUAUGCCCUAGAUGCAAUAAUAAAGUUGUUAUUUAUAUUACUUAAACUAGCAGAGUCACCCGCGCAUUUGCGCGGCUAGAUUGACUACAUAUAUUGUUAUAUUUGGGAUUAUUUUUCUAUGCCAACUUUAUGGCCUCUUACUCAGAUAUUAUCUAAUUUAAUUUACCACCACCAUAUGUUAUAUCCAUAGAUUAUAAUUAAAAGGCAACUUGCGACGAAACAUGGUCAGAUUAUUGAGUGCUCAGAAGACGGGCGCAAUAUCAUAUAUAGACUUCUAUACCAAUCUUCAUGGUUCCCAUCUUUGAUCCUCUCCUCGUCCCUUGGUAUCUAUCUUUGCACCCAAUAUGUCUUUGGAGUUCCAAGAAUUGGAUCUUAGCAUGAAUGGCUUCAAAGUGUACCAAAUGUUCUCUUGUUCCUCCCAAAUUAAUUACUGGUUGCAUUCUUAGUUGCUUUGACAUUCUUGGUUAAUGCAAUGUCUUGCCUACCAAUAUAUGCAUCCACACACGAUCAUAUUUAUAUGACCACUUACCUCUGUAUUCUGGUAUUUGUGCUUCAGAAUUUUUCUCUCAUUCAGUUUAUUCAUAGAUUAGAAACGUCGAUCGUUUCUUUAUUGGUUUGCAUUAUCUUGUUUGCCGAAUGUAAGCAUCCACACAUGCUCGUCAUGAUAUGAUUGGUCAUCAUUGUAUAUUUGUAUUUGUGUGUUGAUAGCUUAAGGAUUUUCUCGGAUUCACUUCAUAGUUUAAGGAUUUUCUCGCGUUCAAUUUAUUCUACCUUAUUCAUUUUCAUGUUUCUUUAUUGUAUUCAUAUCCAUUCUUACAAUAUAUUUUCCAAGAUAUGAACUCAACUACUAAUUACGUAGUUUUCAAUGAAAUUUUACAUGUAAAAGUGGUACAAAUGCAUAAACCCAAUUUUUUUUUAAACACGUUGACUUACAAAAAGGACAAUUCAAGCUGCAUGUACGUCCGACUCAUGUUUACCUGACAAUGUCGAUGUUGAUUUCAGCAGUAAAUGAGCUGUGUGUGACCUUUGCGCUUUCCGGUAUUCUUCUAACCUGUGUGCUUUAUGAUCAGUUUGUUGUGCUUAGUACUGGACACUGGAGUAUACUAUCAUAUUUGAUACAAACAAAUCCGAACUGCUAUAGUUAUGAUCCACUGUAUAGUUAAUGGUGGUGGUAAUUAAUAUAUGUGGUUAAAUACUUGCGCUCCUUAGGUGGGGAGUUGGAUUUGUAUUUGUCUAAAAUGAAUUUCAGAUUUCGUAUCAGUGGUGAAGCCAGCCGGAAGAACCUCUGCGUCAUUAUUAAUUUUGGUGAUAUUUUUCAUCAUAGUGUAGAAUAAUUUUAGUGCUUAUUCCGCAAAAAAAUGGCCUCAACUGACCCCAUAGCUUGUAUGUUGCGCCACCACUGUUUCGUAUAUCUUAUUACAUCCGUUGUUUUUAGAUCUUGAUGCAUAACUUUGACAAUUUUUAAUAGAUAUGUGUCUGUAUAAAAAAAUUAUAAAUGCUAUGAUAAUUUGAUUAAUUAUGAUGAAUAAAAUGGUAUUGCUUUGACUUGAUCCCUCUAACAAUUUAUAGGAAUGCUCUUAAAUAUUUCUGCUUCAUUUGAUCUCAUUAUAGCCUGCCUAAAUUACAUGGCUUAAUCGCCUUUUUUCUUUUAUCUUAGUUCAUUUCCGUAAAUUCAUUUGUACUAUAUAUGCUCCCGUAAAUUCAUUUUUUUAAUUGCUCACAUUUUUUUGAGGCAUUUUGAGUUUCUCACGUACGCUCAAACGCCCAAGAAAACACAUAUAGUGUUCGCUACGCCCAAGAAAACACAUUGAGGCAGUAAUUUCUUCAGGCAAGAUCGAUCGGCAGCUAAUUAAGUAGGCUGGAUGGCAUUGAGAAAUCCAAAAACGAUUUACAUACACAUGGUAGAUCGUCUCUCUCUCUCCUUCCACCCCUUCCUUUCAUGGCCAUCGUAGACUGCACCAUGUGGCAUUCAAACUUUUAUCAAGGGGAGAGUUUCCUCACACACACACACACACAUGCACAUACGCAAGCACACGCACACACGUGUAGUACAAACUUAGAAUUUUUGGAAAUAAUGGGAGGCCGAGCAACGGCCAUGUGAAAAUAUGAGGUAUAUAGCUUGUGGAUUUCCUUUCAGUGUACAAGGCCUGCAUGAGGAAUGGAUAAAAAAUUAUAUCUUUGAUUCCCUUAGUUAAAUCUUAUCCUUCAUCGUCAAUUAUGACUAAGCAUACAUAGUAACCGCUAGUUUCUCUUAUAUGCUUCCGAGAAGAUAAGACUGGAUAUUUUAGUUGCUAUUAAUUGUUUCCCUUCUUUCGCUAAAUAGUAGUCAAACAUGUUAUUAAUGUAUUUUGUAAGGAUAAGGUCGAGCAUCAUGGCCACUAUGUUCUAUAUAUACUGAAUUUGGUGUUCAGUAUGACAUAACAAACACAUAUUGUGAGAAGGAGUAGUGUACAUUGUUCUCUAGUGCACUUUGUUCAGCAAGUUGGGUGAAAAUGUUGAAUAGAACCAUCAAGUUUUCAUACUUUUUUUCAUGGCACAGGUUUGCCUUCUCAUGAUGAUGGCCGCACCGUUUGCACAAGCUGCUGGGAGGCCUGUGGCCUCCUUACCAUGGGUAGCGGGGUGUUGCCCGAGGAACUAUUUGUGUUGUGGUGUUGGUGCCGUUGCCCCGACAUCCCAUGCAUCACAGGCCACCUCUGUACCUUGAGUUAUGGUUUCGCCUGAUCUCCUCUCAUAACAUAGUUGAUAUAACAUAGUAGCAUCACAAAGGUUGCAUGGUUUCAUUGAUUCAUCUCUUUUCUACUCCUUGAAACUUGUGAUGCCACUUUUGAACAAUGUCAUUGCUAUGUCUUCUUAUAACUAAUAAAAUGGGAGGAUAUUUUCAUCUUAUUUGAAUUGUGUUGUAACAUUACCUACUAAUGUGGAUGAUCUGAGUGGGACUACAUAGAUCGGAUCUUCUAAAGAUGUAAUCUAGGACUUUGCGAGAUGAUGAAAUUGUCCUUUAUCUUGGUCGACACCUUUUCGUAGAAGUGUUGGUCGGCCGUCUGUGUCUUUUUGCGGUGCAUGCCGUAGAAUCCUCCAUGUUUUGUAGUUGUACAAUAACCUUUGAGGCAACCGGGGGUGGUACGUCUGAGGAAGUCGGUGGCCCAGGAAUAUUCAUAAUAAGAUCUUGACCAUGGAUGCCAAGUAAUUUGCCCCGUGCUGAUGUCGUCGGGCUGACCCGCUCACUUAUGUUUUGACUCAAGGAGUCGCUAUGUUCACCGAGUCGCGAGACAGCGGGAGGAAGGAGACGAAGGUCCCAAACGUCAGACCAAAAAGGUGGACUAGGGCUCGCCCUAGUUGUGCUCUCGGGUAUUUUCAGUUACUAGUAGGAGUAAGAAGCAUUGCAAAUUGCUCCCUCUGUUCAAUCCGUAUAUAUGUAGUCCAUAUUCAUAUAUUCAAAAUAUUUUAUAUUUGUGAACGAAGGAAGUAAUUAAUUGUAAUGCAACAAUUUCAGGGGAGGCCAGUCAACAGCUAACUAAAUGUGCUGGAUGAGACUGGAGAAAUGUAUAAACGAUUUACACAUGAUAGAACUACUCUUUUCUUGUUAAGAAAUGGAAGAAUGGAUGAUUUUAUCCGUUCGGAACAAAACCCAAUAUUCAUCCAGUUAGACGUUGUUCUGAAUUGUGACGCUUUUGAAAGUUUUCUCGCAGAAAUAUGUGUGUAUUCCAGUUGUAUCAUUAGCAAACCAAGGUUGUAUAUAUUAUAGCACAAAGAAUGUUUGGUUGAUUCGUUCAGGCGAAUCGGGUUUGUUGCUGACUGCCAAAGUCAGGCCAACUCCAGCGCACGACCCCAAACGGACAUCUGUUUUGCCUGGAUUCUGCCCGUUUGGAUAGGGCAAUGGGGUCGUGUCCGGGCCUGUCCUGUGAUGCGGUGGCCGUGCGCACAACGUGCGGACGCAUCCUUUGGCCUCAUCAUGUCCGCCACGGCCAAAAAUGCCCAUAUAUUCAUAUUUCAAUGUUCAAAACUAGUUUGCACGUUCAAAUAUUAAUUGUCUGAAAAUAAAAAUAGUUAUUACAACCCAAUCAAAAUUGUCUCUAAUAAAAUAGUUUUACAACCAAAUCGAAAUUGUCUUGAAUGAACAUAAUGAACCAAUACAUCUAUUGGUUGCCAAUGUGAUUCCACAUGUGCUCAACCAAGUCAUUUUGAAGAUCCAAAUGAGUGUGCCAAUCAUGCAUUUCACGAUGAAAUUGGGCAAACUUCUCAAACGUGGCCGGUUCUUGGUGCAGGGGCUGAACAUUUUCACCUUGAAAAUCAAAUCCUUGGUCGAAGAUGCUGUUAUCAUGCUCGUCCUCGAUGAUUAUGUUGUGCAUGAUCACACAAGCAGUCAUCACCUCCCGAAGCUUCCCUUCAUCCCAUGUCAAUGCAGGGUUUCAAACGAUACCCCAUCGGGAUUGAAGCAAACCAAAAGCACGUUCCACAUCCUUCCUAGCACUCUCUUGCAUUUGGGCAAAUCUCUUUCUCUUCUCACCUUGGGGGUUCGAGAUUGUCUUCACAAAAAGUUGACCACUGAGGAUAUAUACCAUCAGCUAGGUAGUAUCCCUUGUUAUACUGGUGGCCGUUGAUCUCAAAGUUGCCAGGUGGGGAGUGGCCUUCUGCAAGCCUUGCGAAGACUGGAGAACGCGGCAGCACGUUGAUAUCAUUGUGAGAACCUGCCAUGUCGAAGAAAGAAUGCCAUAUCCAAAGAUCUUGCGAAGCCACCGCUUCUAAUAUGAUAGUGCAAGCUUUAACAUGCCCCUUGUACUGGCCCUGCCAAGAAAAUGGACAGUUCUUCCACUCCCAGUGCAUACAAUCUAUGCUACCAAUCAUGCCUGGAAAGCCUCUAGCUGCGUUGGUCGCCAACAAGCUUUCUGUAUCAGUGGCAUUUGGCUGCUGAGGGAGUCCUGGAUUAAGGGGUCCUCGGGCGUCUGGGCUAUGUAACAUGGGCUGGACUAAUGGGCCGCGAAGAUACAAGAUGGAAGGCUUUCCCCCCAUGUCCGGAUGGGACUCUCCUUGGCGUGGAAGGCAAGCUUGGCAUGCGGAUAUUAAAGAUUCCCUUCCCUGUAAACCGAGUCUGUACAACCCUAGCCCCCUCCGAUGUCUAUAUAAACCGGAGGGUUUAGUCCGUAGAGGCAAGGAUAAUCAUACAGGCUAGAUAUCUAGGGUUUAGCCAUUACGAUCUCGAGGUAGAUCAACUCUUGUAAUCCCUAUACUCAUCAAAGUCAAUCAAGCAGGAAGUAGGGUAUUACCUCCAUUAAGAGGGCCCGAACCUGGGUAAACAUCGUGUCCCCUGCCUCCUGUUACCCUCUAUCCUUAGACGCACAGUUCGGGCCCCCCUAUCCGAGAUCCGCCGGUUUUGACACCGACAGCUGCCUCAAGUACUCAGGGCCAAACACUGCCACCACAGCCUUGUAGAAUUUGUAAAGUGACAACAGACAUGUCGACUCACUCAUGCGCACGUACUCAUCCACCAGAUCGCCUGGAAUUCCAUAUGCAAGCAUGCCGAUGGCCGCGGUGCACUUCUGGUAAGAGGAGAAUCCAAGCUUGCCAAGGGCAUCCGUCUUGCACUCGAAGUAUGGGUCAUGAGCAACCACUCCCUCUCGGAUACGAUUGAACAGAUGCCUUGCCAUACGAAAACGGCGACGGAAUUUAUUCGGCUUGAAGAGCGAGGUAUUCGCAAAGUAAUUGGCAUAGAGCAAGGCGUGGCCUCUCUCUCUAUUGCGUUUCAGGUUGGGAGCACGGCCAGGGACUGACCCCAUGUACCGAGGAAGCUGCCCAAUGUGAUCGUGAACGACCAGUGCAACCACCACCAGAUCUUCGUCAUCCGAGGACGAAUCAUCCGAUGAAUAAAUGAAGUGGUGGAAGAAAAAUUCAUCUCCACUGUCCAUACCUUUGUGGGCAAAGUGUCCAACACCUUGCGGUCGUGGUGGCAAAUAGGCCGCGAUGAUCAUCUCGAUGCAGCAGGGGUGGUUGGCGGCCGGCUACUGGCCGCUAUGGAGCACCUGGCGAAAGCUGCCGUGGUCCAUAUCCGUCGCCGGUGGUCGUAUCCCCUCUGGCACCGGCUACAACGACGACGGCCAAAUCUCCUCCAAGCGAUGGCCAGAACUCCUACGAAAGCGCGGGCUUGGUGGCGGCCGUGUCGAGACGUGGUUUGGUAUGGAUGGCCGGGGGGAAGCAGUGAGGAGGCGGUCGGAGAAUACUGGGGGCGCCGGUGGCGGGGUGGGGCGGAGGAGAGCGGGUGGAGGCGUUGGAGGCGAAUGGAGUGCUAGUGUCCCCAACAGGCGGGCCGCGGGGAGGACAAGGGCGUGUGUCCAGCCCGUCCGUGUGAUGUCCGUUUCAUCCCAAACUCGGCACAAGUUUGGGCCAGGAAUGGGUAAAAAACGGACGAAAUCCGGACAUUUGUCUAUUUGAGGCCGUGCCUUGGGUCGCGCUAUUCGUGUAUUCUACCCUAAACGGACGCACCAGAACGGAAUGGGGUCGCGUGCUGGAGUUGGCCUCACGACCGUUUCUGCCUUUGGCGCAGACAAGAGAUUCUACACUGUAAAGGAAAAAGCUGAAAGCUCGCUUGUCUCGUGUGUUUCUCUUCUCUUGCACCUUGUCGGAAAACAGCGUGCACCAGGGACGCUCGAUUCCAUGGCAGGCAUCAAUUCAAUCGAUCAUGCUACAGGGAACCGGCACUAUUUUCUUUUUCUUUUUCUUUUUCUUUUAGGUCGUGAACGCAAGUCAUUUGAGACAUUCACAUAGGACUUACAUAAUUGGUAGAUUUAUUAGCAUCAGUGUGGAGCUAAAGUGUUUGAUGUUUUGUAUGAAUGGUUUGGUCUUAACAAUCAAGCCGACCACUCAGGACCUACUUUUGGACUUUUUUUUUGUAUUAUUGUAUACUAGCAAAAGGGCCCGUGCGCGGAGAAAAAAAUUAUAAUCUUGAAUGACCAUGAUCACAUUUUUUUGCAUCACCGAGAUACACUAUCACUUUCAAUUUCGGGAAAUCAUGUACAUUUUUUAAACUUGUGAACAUUUUUCAAAUUCUUGAACACUUUUACAAAUCUGCAAACAUAUUCUAAAAUCAAGAACAUAUUUUGAAUUCAUGAACAUUUUAUAGUAUUUACAAACAUUUUUAGAAAUUACGAAUUCUUUUUAACAACUUUCUUGAAUAGGCAAACAAUUCUAAAAUGGACGAACAUUGUUUUAUAAAUCGGUGGAACAAUUUUUGAAAUUCACGAACAUUUUUUUGAUUUUACAAACAUUUUUUGAAAUGCAUGAUCAUUUUUGUAUAAACUAUUUUGUAUGUCACGAACAGAUUUUCAAAUAUUUGGUUAUUUCCCCAUUCAUGAACAUUUUUUGAAUGGUGAUAUUUUCUUCAAUUUCAUUAACAUUUUUUAUACACCAAUUUUUAAAAAGUCAUGGACGUAUUUUGAUUUCAUGAACAUUUGUUUUCAAAAUUUCGAACAUUUUUCGAGUCAGAUUCUUUAAUAAAAUUGCAAAUAUUUUUUGAAUACAUAAACAUUUUAUGAUUUAUUAAAACUUUAUUUGAAAAUUAUUUUUAAAUUUCAAAUAUUUUGUGUAUUCCGAAUUUAGUUAAAGCAGAAAAAACGGAAAAGGAUAAAAAAGGAAAUGUUAAAAACAGGCCGCCCGGACAUGGGCGGCCCAAACAGGCGGGCCGCGCCUUAUCCCUACGCGCAGAGCCCAGUAUGGGAGGUCGCUACUACAUGGCCCAGUCCAGACGUGGAUUCCCUGUGUGAAACAUUUAUAUCACUUAUACAUGACAUUUGUGGGUAAUUUGUACGACGUGCCAUAAGAAGAAAUAGCCCCUUUAUUAUUACUAGCAAAAGUGUCCGUGUGUUGUAAUGGGAGAAAUAAAAUCAAAAUCUCCAAUGACCAUGACCAUAUUUUGUUGCAUCACCCAGACACCCUAUCACUCUCAAUUUCAUGAAAUCAUGAAUAAUUUUUGAAAUCACGAACAUGUUUUAAAAUUAUUACUCAUAUUUGAAAUUGUGAACAUUUUUCAAAUUCAUGAACACUUAUACAAAUUUUCGAACAUUUUCUAAAAUCCAGAACAUUUUUGGAAUUGAUGAACAUUUUAUACUAUUUGCAAACACUUUUUAAAGAUUCUGAACAUCUUUAUAAACAAUUUUCUUUAAUCGAGGAACAUUUGUAUGGAAAUUGACGGAACAAUUGUCGAAAUUCACAAACAUUUUUUGAUUGAACUAACAUUUUUUGAAAUACAUGAUCAUUUUUUGAAUCAGUAGACAUUUUCUGAAUGACUAAACUAUGUUGUAAGUCACGAAAUAGUUUUUGAAUUUUAGGAUAUUUCUCCAUUCAUGAACACUUUUUGAAUUGGCUAUUUUUUUCAAUUUCAUUAACAAUUUUUGAUACAAAAACUUUUUAAAAAUCAUGAAUUUUAUUUGAUUUCCCAAAAAAUUGUGUUUAAAGUUUUGAACAUUUAUUGUGUAAGCAAUUGUUUUUUACAAAACAGCGACCAUAUUUUGAAUCCACAAACAUUUUAUGAUUUAUGAAAAUUUUAUGUCAAAAUACUCAUUUUUUAAAUUUUCUAAACUUUUUUGAAAUCCUAAACUAUUUAUAGUAAAAAGAACGAAAACAGGAAAGAAAAAUGAAAAUAGAAAACGAAAUCAAAGAAACAGGCCAGCCUGAAAUGGGCCGGCCCAAACAUGCGUGUAGCGUCUUCUCCCAGCGUGCCGAGAACAUUAUAGGAGGUCCCUACUGUAGAGCCGGCCCAGAUGGGGGAAUUCCCUUGUGUGAAUUUUUUGUAUCACUUAUAUGUGGCAUUGAACUCAUGAAGCAUGCGCUAUCCCUUCCAGCUCGCCGCCAUGUCUGGCUCGGACAACCAGAUGGACUUUCUUUCGUCCCUGUAAACGUUUUGAUGAUAUAAUAAAAAGCUUCGGAAUUUGUCUAAAAAAACUUAUAAGUGGCAUUGGUGGGUAAUAUUUUGCAACUUUAGAGGUAAUUCCAUGACGUACCACCAGAAGCACAAUAGCCCCUUUACUAUUAUUAGGUACUCUUUUUUCCUUGUGGAGCUUUGGAAAUGAGAGAAUUUGAAUAUAGUAACUCUCGGAAACUCUUAUUGGACGAGAGAGAUUUAAUAUGAUAUUGGCAUGGGUUCUACCAACUAAACGAAGAAGUAUUUGACUGAAUAAACAGACAAUUUCCUUUAAUCGACGAACAUUUUUAUGAAAAUUGGUGGAAUAACUUUUGAAAUUCAUAAAUAUUUUUUGAGUUAACGAACAUUUUUUGAAAUACAUGACCAUUUUUUUGAAUCUGUGAACGUUGUAUGAAUGAAUAAACUAGUUUGUAAGUCAUGAGCAGUUUUUCAAUUUUUAGGAUAUUUUUCCCUUCAUGAACAUUUUUUCAAUUGGUGAAAUUUUGUUCAAUUUCAUUAACAAUUUUUAGUGCAUAAAACUUUUUAAAAUCAUGAACAUUAUUAUUUACCAAAGAAGCAAAUUGUUUUUUGCAAAAUCAUGGACAUUUUUUGAACCCACAAACAUUUUAUUAUUUAUGAAACAUUUUUUUAAUACACAAUUUUUUUAAUUUUCGAAUUUUUGUGAAAUACUAAAUUAUUUAAAGUAGAAAAAUCAAAAACAGAAAAGAGAAAGGAAUAAUAGAAAAGGAAGUUAAAUAAUAGGCCGACCGAACAUGGGCUGGCCCAAACGGGCGCACUGCAUCUUCUNNNNNNNNNNNNNNNNNNNNNNNNNNNNNNNNNNNNNNNNNNNNNNNNNNNNNNNNNNNNNNNNNNNNNNNNNNNNNNNNNNNNNNNNNNNNNNNNNNNNNNNNNNNNNNNNNNNNNNNNNNNNNNNNNNNNNNNNNNNNNNNNNNNNNNNNNNNNNNNNNNNNNNNNNNNNNNNNNNNNNNNNNNNNNNNNNNNNNNNNNNNNNNNNNNNNNNNNNNNNNNNNNNNNNNNNNNNNNNNNNNNNNNNNNNNNNNNNNNNNNNGUAUUAUUAUUGUUUCAAAUUUAUUCAUAUAUUAUUUUCAAUUGUACAACCAUAAUUUUUCUUAUCUCUCUCGUUCCACUACAUGCUCCUAGUCAAAGAUUUUUUUUAAUAAUGGGUGUUUUUAUUAACUCAAAAUAUAGCAUCAAGCGGAUACAAAACAUAAUGAGCCACACCCGGUCUAUGCAUAACUAAGAUGCACACAGCCAAAAGCAGAAGUCUGACAAAAAUAAGAUAAGAAAAUCGACAUAUCGACAACAGUGAGUCAUGUAGUACCGACACUAUGCCUCUGUCGAAGGAGGUGGUGGAGCGAUCUGGAGAUUAUGCUGCCAUCCAUGUUGAGUAAAUAUCUCCCUGGCCACUUGCUCCAACCGCAUAGACGCCGCCAUGAACAACGGUUGGUACUCCAUUCGGUGUAGCAUACACCAUACUAGAGGCUGGGGCGCCACCUGAGGCGGGCCUAUGCGCACUUAUUUUGUCUGGGCACUUCGGUUGUCAUGUUUGGUCAUCAGUAUCACUUAUGUACAUCAAUAUGGGCGUAUGCUGUAUUGUUUGAGUUCAUUAGGAUCUAUUAGUAUCACAUCAAUCAAAGUACAUAUACUAUGUUAUUUGAGUUCAGAACCAUCAUAGGCAAUGAUACGUCUAAUAAGGAUAUAUAACAUUUAAUUCAAAAGGAAAGACAAAGUAGAAUUAAGUGCUUUAGUUUGGCCGAAGAAAGGAACCUCAUGAUGCCAUGACUAAGGAACCAAAUAUAAAAGAGCACCUUUCAGAGUACUCCAGAGGUAUGACAUCAUCCAUUUCCACAUCAGAAUCAUCGGAAUUCUCCUGAUCUUCAUUUCGAUGUACCCAACACAAAUGCUACAUGGAUUUUAGUCAGCUGCACUCCCCACUACUUCUACACUUCCCCUUUUUCACACCGACGAGCAGAGACUGAUGCAAGUUGAUCGAACACAGAACAACAUAUAAUUUCCUAGAGAUGCGCUGGGCCUGAAAGGCAACAUACCUAGCAUGCGCAUAAAAUGUGAGAGUAACAAUAAAAGAACAUACCAUUUACCGAUAUGAUUAUUAUUGCUUGCCAAAAUGAUACGUUUUGAUUACUAUUGCAUGCCAAUAUUCUUAAUCACUCCAAGCAAAUUUAACCUAAACUAAAUAUCUAAGAGUAAGCUCUGGUUUAUGUAUUUUACAGAAGUUUGGUUCAGCGAAACUUCGGAAGCAAAUGUGUGAAGGUUUUAUCAUUCUAAUUAAAGGCCUUUUGAUUGUGCAAAACUUACACUACCACAUGAGUUACUGACCAACAUGAGAUGCAAAGUAACAACAGCAUGAUAAUUUUUUUUGAAGGCAGUCAUAUUCUAAAGCAUUAAAAGAUGAAUUCCAAUGCUUUGAUUCUGUAAAGAAUUAGAUCGAUCACUCAACAGUUCUAUUGGCGCCACUAAAAUUCUGAGUGCAAUGUUGUGUAUGUAGCUAAAAUUCACCCAUCAAAGACAACCUUAAUAAUAAGCAAUGGUCAAAACAAGCAAUUGUUGAAGUUAAAUGUAAUUAGAUAGGAAGUCACAUUUGAUUCAUGACCAUCGAGCUGAAAAUGAGACCGAUAAAAGCUGAUUCACCAUGAAGAGAAACAACUAAUGUGAACCUCGGGUUGUAAAACAAAUAGGAUGAGUCGUGUGCUGAUUGCAAAAAAUUGUACUUCUAACCAAAUGACCAUGCUUCAUGAAUAGAUGACAAUAUAGUAACACGAAAGUGAAGUACGGUGAAAUUUUGUAAGCUACUAAGGGCAUAGGGCAAAGCUCACACUCCAGCUUGCACUCCUUGAAGAAAUCAACCAAAAGCACCCAGAAAGAUAAAUGGCAUUGUGGCAUCCGAUGAAUGUUGAUAACUGUACCAUCACACUAAUUUAAUCUACAAAAUUCAUGUCAACAUCACUAAUCAUGAUGUAUCAGGUUAGGAUAAAAUCAUUGUUUUUUCCCAAAAUAAAAUAAAACAAGCCCAGUUAGAAAGAAAUCAUAAGCCUAUCAGACAAUCAGGCAAUUCUGUUAGCAUGUCAACAAUCAGACAGAACAAAACCUAUAGUCCUCAUUUUUUUCUUUCUAAAAAAAGUGUAAUGCUAGAAAAGAGAGUUAAAUAAAAUGCUACGUGAAUCAGCAUACAGAAAAUUCAUAGAAGCAAUGAAGAAAAUAUGAACAAAAUUUAUGUCGAAACACCUAUACUUUCCCCACGAGCAAAUAUGUGUAAUGUUAGAAAAGGGAGUUAAAUAAAAUGUUAGGCAAAUCCGCAUCCAGAAAAUUCAUAGAAGCAAUGAAGCAAAGAUGAGCGACAAAUUUAAUCUACACACACACACACACACACACAUUCAGGCAAACAAAUUACUUCGAUUGAAUCCAUUCCUUUGCAUAUAUGGCAUAAAUGCAUCUAAGGAAAAAAAAACUUGAUGGUGUUAGUUUACCUUGCCAAGAUCAUGAAAUCCAUCUAAAUGAAUAAGAAGCUCCAACAGUGUCCGCUGGAUCUCAUGGUCGUCAUUGGUUCCCUCACUAAAUCUUCUCGCAUCAAUUGCAUCGAUUUCAUCCAUGAAGAUAAUGCAUGGCUAGAAAUAACAACUUGAUGAAAAUGAAACAAAAUUUGCAAGCACCGUAAAUAAACUAAAUGGUGAUAUAAGCUAAAAUGAUCUCAGAAGUGCACUUUUACAUAUAUAGAGAUCAGUUUGAUUUCUUCUUCUCAGGAAAAACUGAUACUGAAAUCUAAAGCUUAAAGUUUUUCUAGUGUUGAACCAGAAUACAAUUAGAUGACAUGACAUCUGAGUCAAGGGAACUAUCAAAGUCACAGCUUGAAUCUCAACACCAGUAGAUGCAUAACCAUCUGCCAACAUACGUUUCUAACAGAUAAUAAGGGAAUUAGGUUUAAGACCAAUUGGCUUUGCAAAAAAGAAAGGCGGAGCAAAACUUACUUGGCGAUCGCGUGCAUAGCCGACCAUUUCUCUGAUUAAAAGCGCACUUUCCCCGAUAUAUUUGUCAAUUAUAGCACUUGACACAAUCUGGUUUUUAGACAACACGUCAGUGUAAUGUAAUACUCACAGAAUGAAAAUACCAACCACCAUCAAUCAAGUGAAAACCACAGCUCCAAAAAGUUAGCAUGAAUGUUACUGGAUAUAGCCCUUGAUAGUAAUGGCUUCCCUGUAGAGUAGAACGCACUUGAAAAAGUUAAAGAAACAUACACUGGCUCCCAUAUAUUGAUCUUGUAUUUGACAAGUGGCCGGGCAUCAACAUUGUGCCUGCUGGUGUACCAAUUCAGCUUGUAGCUGCCAGCUAAUCUCCUUCUGAACAGUUAUGCUGUCCUCACUCACGUGCUACGCCUAUUCAAACUUGCUUAAUUUAAUUUGUUACUACUAUGUUAAUGCUGACAUAUUAACUGGCAGACCUCAUGUACUAACAGUAAAUCCCAGCAUACUUUCUUAAUUUGCUACUAUCCGGAUUUAUUCUUUUAGCGAGAGGUCAGGUAUCACUUGGAACAACUGAGUUUCUUUUUAAUCUUUGUGGACACUACACUUGAACGCCACAACCACCUGGAUAUGUCAGGCAGGACGGGCAGCAGCGCAUCAUCAGUAAGUUUAUUUAAGAGAGUAAAAUUCAGUCGCAAUCAGUCAAUCUCAAUCAGGUUCAGAUUUGGACGCGACCUUGAAUAACGAAGCCCCAACUGGGAAGAACAAGGUUGCAAGAACAAGCAGAUUGACGAUGGGUUCAUGGAAGCUUACCAGGCAGGCAGUCCGCCCGGCGGCUUGAGCAAGCUGCUGCUGGUACCCUACGCGCAGUCGCAGUCCGCACCGGCCAGGGCACACGAGCACUGACGCGCGUGCCGCCUGCCGCUUCACCAUGCCCACGUUGUAGUCGCCACCGAUUCACGGCAGGGCAGAGGGGCCUCGACCUCGUCCUCCUCCACAUCAUCAUCGGCGAUGCCCUUCCCCUCCUGACCCCAACACCAUCAUGCCCCCGCCGACUCAUCUCCCUACAGCGACGGCGACUCCGGAGGCUCCGAGACCUGGGACACCGACAUGAGUGGCUCGUCGGCAUCGGAUCUCCUCCACCCNNNNNNNNNNNNNNNNNNNNNNNNNNNNNNNNNNNNNNNNNNNNNNNNNNNNNNNNNNNNNNNNNNNNNNNNNNNNNNNNNNNNNNNNNNNNNNNNNNNNNNNNNNNNNNNNNNNNNNNNNNNNNNNNNNNNNNNNNNNNNNNNNNNNNNNNNNNNNNNNNNNNNNNNNNNNNNNNNNNNNNNNNNNNNNNNNNNNNNNNNNNNNNNNNNNNNNNNNNNNNNNNNNNNNNNNNNNNNNNNNNNNNNNNNNNNNNNNNNNNNNNNNNNNNNNNNNNNNNNNNNNNNNNNNNNNNNNNNNNNNNNNNNNNNNNNNNNNNNNNNNNNNNNNNNNNNNNNNNNNNNNNNNNNNNNNNNNNNNNNNNNNNNNNNNNNNNNNNNNNNNNNNNNNNNNNNNNNNNNNNNNNNNNNNNNNNNNNNNNNNNNNNNNNNNNNNNNNNNNNNNNNNNNNNNNNNNNNNNNNNNNNNNNNNNNNNNNNNNNNNNNNNNNNNNNNNNNNNNNNNNNNNNNNNNNNNNNNNNNNNNNNNNNNNNNNNNNNNNNNGGAGGCUCGAGCUUGGGAAGGGGGGAGGGGAACGAAGGGGUGGGGCUCCAGGCAAUCCUCACCUCCAAAGACAACUUGACCGGCAACACGGGCAGGCUAGACCUCUUCUAUGGCGAGGCCAACUUCGGCGAGGGGACGAGGUGGUGCGGGACCUUGGAGAUAUCUCCCCCGCGCGUGGAGCUUGUCCGGCGACGCCGCUGAAGAUGCCACUGCCACGACCAGCUCGAUCCUCCUUCGCUGGACUCCGAUCUGGACGAGGACUGAGCUAGGAGGAGGGAAGCGGGAGAGGAGAAGGCGCAGGAGAAGCGGCUGAGCCGGCGGCGCAGGGACCAGGGAGAGAAGAAGGCGAACGAAGAGGGGAUUGACAGAGUGGCGAAGAAGCAUGCGGGCUAGGUUUCCUUUUCUUUUUCUCCCAGCACUGCACAGUUGCUUGUCUCGUAGCUUGCCGGCAUGGCUAUGGCGAGGGCUCGCCCUUGAUGCGUAGGUUAAUGUAUUCGACUAGCGGGGCGCCUCUUGAGAGGAAGCUGAGCGGUGCUAGGUGGGACGCGCCCCUUUCCCUUUCCUGCAUAUACUAUGUAAUGUUAUUGCAUCAGAUUUAAAGUAACAUGCUCAGCUAAGUGCAAAGUGUGAUGAAUAAGUGAAACAGAAGGAAGCUGGUACAUUGGUGUAUGCCAAAAACUGAAUAUUAUAACAUAAACACAUGAAGUCAUCGACGUCUAUGGUAUGAAAUGCACAUGCACAAAAUUAGAGUGCACAUGAAGACAGAGCACUAUAGUGUCCUGAGUUGCAAGUCUCUAAGCACUGAAAUGAUCUGCAAUCAUAUGUACAAAGUAACCGAAUAAGAACAAGAAAUUUAGAGUAAAUGAGCUGUAAAAUUGUAAGUAAUGAGCAUUGGAAUUAAGGCAGAGUCAGUGACAGUUGGGUGCACUUGACAGGAAAAUCGGCGAGGCAUAAUAUGAAAUUAGAGUAAAUGAGUGCGUGCACUUCUCUUGGUGGCACCUAAAUGAAAAAAGAAACUAUUCACCUCUCGAUAUAUUCCCUAAGACCAUAUAAAAUCAGGAAGGUACUGAAGAGAGAUGCUCAAAUUCGAAGUUGCCAUGUCUAGGAAUGCUUGAAGCUUCAAAGAUUUCCUAUAAUACAGCAUGCCUCUAACUAUUCACAAUAAGAAAAACAUGUAAAUGCGGAAUCAACCAAAUGAUGGUAAAUUGUAGUUGAUUUUGGCCAAGCAAACGUCAGAUGAAAGAAACAUACAUGAGUGAACAUCACGAUUGGAUGUUUUAUUCAAAUUUAACAGGUUAAACUCACCAAAUACAUCUGGAUAUUUAGUGUUAAACUUCAACAGAUGGUCAGUUGUAGCUAGAUUCACACCACUGAAGCAAAAUUCCAUCUGCCACGGUUACAUCACACCAUCUUUUCAUCGUUACUAUUUAAAUUCCAAAAGCCUGCAACUCAUUUUUUUUGUUACGAUGUAUGCAUGAUUUUUAACUCAAGAGGAAGAGGGGAAACUAAAUCCAAGAAAAGAACACCAAGGAAGCAUCCAAAAUAGAGAAAGGAAAAAUCCAAAAUAGAGGCAGAAUCGAAGGGAAGAAACCCCAUAAAAAAUAGGAGAUCAAACGGUGAAAAAAAUCUAAGAGUCAAACAAUUCCAGGUAAGACCAAAUCGACGGCAAAAUAGCACAAGAGGGACUCACAUUAACAGGUAUACCAAUUCAGAAAGAAGUGUAAAGCAAACAGUGCAAUGGACCACUAGUAUAAAUUGGAUGUACACAAACAUGGGACUUAAACAGGAACUGCGAGAUGCAGGGUUCACGUGCAAACCCAAAAAACGGAAAACUGAAACCCACAACAAGAUUUUAUCUUCAUAUAUAUAUAUAUAUAUAUAUAUAUAUAUAUAUAUAUAUAUAUAUAUAUAUAUAUAUAUAUAUAUAUAUAUAUAUAUAUAUAUNNNNNNNNNNNNNNNNNNNNNNNNNNNNNNNNNNNNNNNNNNNNNNNNNNNNNNNNNNNNNNNNNNNNNNNNNNNNNNNNNNNNNNNNNNNNNNNNNNNNNNNNNNNNNNNNNNNNNNNNNNNNNNNNNNNNNNNNNNNNNNNNNNNNNNNNNNNNNNNNNNNNNNNNNNNNNNNNNNNNNNNNNNNNNNNNNNNNNCCUAUCUAUUAGUUGCUUCUUCCGAAUCCCCACCUAUCAAGCGUUUUCUUUGAAUAAACAAACACAAUAGUAUUCUCUGAAUUAUACUGUACAGUGAUAAUUAACCAAGCGACUGGAAUUAACAAUAUUAUGAGCUAUUGGCUUUUUAGUCAGGUAAAUAUCAUUCUUAAGACUACGGAAAACAGCAGGCGGCGAAGAAAACAUCUAUUGAUGAGAACUAUACACAUACUUAAGAAGGAAGUGACAUCUAUGGUAGCAGAACAUAUAUCAAGCUGUUGCAGCUACAUUAGCAGUUUAGCACAGUCCCUCCAUAAUACACAGGCUAGUGUAAUUUCACAAAUACAAUAAGCUAACAAUAUAUAUUUGGUAGAUGGAAAUGGCUGGAUCAUGACCAAUAUACGAUUACACAUCCGAUGAUGCAAAUAAAGAAACGAGGCCCAACAAUAGUGGAAAAUAAACCACAAUAGAACAUGUAUUUGGCGAAACCUCCAUACUGCAAUAUCAAACAUGAAUUGAAAUUAACAAUCUAGCAAAAAAACAUGACAGAUGCAGUCUUGGUCAUUUUUUCUUUUGUGACAUCCCCUAAAAAAAGUAAAAAGAAUGUUGUUCGUAUUUUACCAGAGAUACACUGAGCUGGGACAAAUCGGUCUGAAAUAAAAUAUGAUGGCUUCGGAGGAUUCGGAAGGCAAGAAAUUUGCUUUCUUCCAACAUAUAUGGUCUGCUGAACUAAACUUUGUUUCAGCGAGCUUUGGCAAAAAUCUGUAACUGCAAACAUCAAACUUGUGUGCCCUUCCUACAUCAAACUUUAAACCUGACGGAUUAAAUAUUUUAGGUUAGGCUGAGAUCAGUGUACUUUAUGAGUGUUAAGUGUACUUUCUAAAUAGCAGAGAAACCAUAACAUCUAAGCACAACCCAGCAACUUGUACAAGCUAACAUCAAAUCUGAAAGAGGAAAUGUCGAGAACAGGUGAAGGUACCAUGAUCCAUGACUGAGCAAAGUUAUCUAUAAUCCUCGGUGAAUAUCAUAAAUUAGGAUCAACAAAGCUGAAGAACAAACGGGAAAGGAACCUAGAAAGAUCUUCUGCCGGUAGAAUAUAACUGAUACACUAUCCUCAUUCUCGAGAUCAAGGUCGUUUCUUGAAUUGCAGUUUCCUCACUGUAGUAUGGGGUCAUUACACUGCGAAGAACAAAGUGUCAUAUGAAUCAUUUAGAGCCCAAUCUUUUUCACUGAAACUCUUAUGAUCACAUAACGAAUUUAAACAUAAGGUUUAUUAGAUAUUUGUUGUUGUGAACUGAUAAUAUAUUUCUGGUGUUGACAAUGUUUUGAUUAUGGAUGCACUUCAAGAUGGGUGGCACAGAUUCUGUUGUACAGGCCUCCACCUGGAAUUUCAUCACUUGUUAUUUUUGUUUAGAAUGUCUAGGUGCAUUUUUCCUUUAAGGUGGAAACAGAUGUACUUGUAUAAGCAACAAGAAUACAAAGCGCCACUGCCAUACAUUGUGGAAGUUCAAUGCUUCUGUUUACAAAAUCUGCUUCCCAAAACAGAAGGAUUUAUAAUUUUUUAUUACAAUCAAGCGGACAUGAGCUGAUGAGUACAGAUGUAAACAUGUACUGAGAGCAGCACCCUUUCAAAAGUGGAUCAUUUACAAGUUGGAUAGUUUGAUGGUCUGAAAUUAGUGGUCGUGUUUCAGAAUUGUUAUCGAAUAGUAGAGGAUAUAUAUUAACUUCUGAAAUUAGUGGCUGUUUGUCAGAACUGUUAUCGAAUAACAGAGCACAUAUAUUAACUUCAAUAAGUGGAGUAAUAUCUUUGGAUUCGCUGUGAGGAAAGAUUACCAAAACAAAACAGAAGUGAGUGCGACGACCCAGAUGAGGGCGCUCUUGAGCCUCUUCCCGACCGACCUAGAUGCAGGAGCAGAACACCGCGGAUCUAAUCAGCCAACGAAUAAAGCCGAGGCAGGUAGAGGAAGUAAGGGAGGAAGAAGACUGACUUGUCCUGGUCGCCCUCGUAGUAGAAUAUGGUGAACGGGAUGACGAGGAAGACGAGGACAGCGUCGAGGAUGUAGACGACGAGCCAGAGCGUCUUCAUGGGCAGGAUAAGGGCGCAGGCCCCGUUGUAGGCGGCGUGCUUGCAGGUCUGGCGGUUGGCGACGUCAGCGGGGAGCAUGAGGAUGGAGAGGACGGCGACGGUGAUGCCGAGCACGACGACGAGCUUGGGGAAGUAGGCCUGGUUGGCAUCAUCCGGGUGCUGGUAGUUGACGAGCAUGUAGACGCUGACGAGGAGCACCAGGAUGCUGACCACCGCCGCCACGAUCACUAGCGCCACGUUAAAAACCCCAUCUCCUCGGGGCUCCGGUCCCGGUUCCGGCCCGCCGCCUCGCCCCCGUUGGUCGGUCAGAUCUCUCUGUCCCUAGAGGCGGGGGGAUACAGGCUAGGGUUUGGGCGUGGGCGGGGAAUAGGCUGCUAUGGUGUCGGCAGCGGGGCGGCCACCGGCGGGGAGGGCGGGAUCCGCGCGGGGUGGCGGGAUUUGGGCAGGCGGUGGGCUCGGGGGAGGGCGGUGGCAGCGAAGCAGCAGGGAGGGGCUGGAGGAGAUGAAACGAAAGAGGUCGCGUGACACAGCGACAGCGUCGUCCAAUCCCCUCGCUGCCGAUUUAAAAAAAGGUAAUGAUAACUCCCGAACGUUCAGGAGUUAAGCAUGGCAACCCGAACGGGUUUAGAUGGCAAGUUUAGUUUGCGUGAGAUUAGAGAAACAUGGCAAUUUUCUGACAAAAGAAAUGAAAAAGGACGAAGUUGCCAUCCCCUAUCAACUAAAGUUGCCAUCCCUAUGAACUAAAGUUGCCAUGUAAAAACGUUCGGGAUGAAAUGCUCAAAAUCCGAACGUUCGGAAGUUAUUGGAUUCAAAAAAAAUCCCCUUGCUGCCAAUCGCUGGCCCGUUUCUUUUUUCGCCCAAUCGCUAGGUGAUGACGUGGCUAUCACGGGAAGGCGCCCUUGAUGCGUAGUCGAAUGGUUUUAAUUAAUAGGAAGCGAGUGCUUACUCUAGUUACUGAAUUAUGUACACCAAAUAAAGCCAUUUACACGUAGUUAAUGACAAAAAAAGUUGAUGUUUGCUACGCAAACGUGUAGUACAAAUUAAGAAGUGCAAGAUAAAAAAAAAUGCUGGUCCUUGAUUCGUUGUUGAUCGUCAGCAUGCCAUCAUCAAUUUGUAGUUAAUUAUCAUACAAAUUGGCUCUUUCAUAGAGUUGGAGGCUAGCUCCUUUGAUCAGCACGCGCUUAAACAUAAACAGCACGUAUAUGUUUUGUCUCCGGAGUUCAAUUCUUCAUCGGCCAGCAAAAAUGGCCCGACCGGGUAGAGGAAAAGGCAUGUUUGUUAGUACGCCUGGAGGAAAUGCCUUUGAUUAGGGCAUCUUCAACAGCGACCAGUAAAUUUCCUCCCGCGUUCGUCCACGGAUAGGGGAUCAGUCCGCGGAUACGGAUACAGGAAUCAUCUAUCUAACGCUGUCCGCGUAUAUUUCAAACACAUUUUUUUUAAAAAAAUAGGAUGAAAUUCAUGCAAACACAAUGGAUUUCAUACAAACCGGACAAAAAUGUUUACAUUUUGGACAUAUUUUUUUUACUAAAAACUCUACAGCCGGCGCCGGCGAAUAUCCACUCCGGCGACAUGGAACCCUUGACUAGUCUACUGCCGGCCGCAGCGGAUCUCCAAUGUCGUCCCCAUGUCCGGCAACUAUGAGCCCUAGAGGUAUAUGCUUCAGCGCAAAGAGCGGCUCGCCUCCCUACCGCUCAUCGGAGUGGAACAACCAGCUGAUGCUUCUGCCGAUGGAAAGGGUCCCUACGCUACACGGAUUAGAGUUGGUUUUGGGCUGGGAACGGCGGUGGCCUGCCAGAGGGCAAGACACCGACUGUGUAUGCUGGUGUCACCUGGUGUGGCAUUCGUGGGACCCAAGCGGCAGCGCCUCCUCGAUGAUGGCGGCGAGCGCGGACGUGUUGGACACCACCUCGUCGAUGUCCGUGCAGCCCGCUUCUUUCUCUGUAGGAAGGACGCGGUUACGCUCGCGUUGACAUCGGAUGACUCGGUCACAUGCACGGGAGGGGCGGUACGACAUGGCACCGCCAAUGGCAGCCAUGAUGCCCGCGCCAGCGUGCUCUCUCCCAGUGCCGACCUAGAGCAACUUGCCACUCCUCUGCUCGUGAACGGUGGGCUUGACGGGCCACCUAGCCAUUUUUUAUGCCAGACAACUCUUCUUCCUGCUCGUCAGAUGUCAUGGAUAAAACUGUUUAAGGAGGAAAAUGAUGAGUAGACGUGUGAUGCGGUUCUUGCCCAACAUCUGACAUUGUUUAAAUAGCGAGGGGACACGAGAGGAGCCAACUGGCGUUCUGUUUAAUGCCAACCGGCUCGCGAACGAACAUGUGGCUGGAGUAAUUAUCCUGGCACACACGCGGGUUUAAUGGUGGAAGGUGGGCAGUCUGCAGGAAUGAGGCGAGGAUGUGUGCUUAGCCGGCGUGCAGCAGGCGGCGCCCUCGGCCGGCGUGCUGCAUCCAUUGCGGAGGCAGUGAGAGGUCGCGUCCGCUCUGCAGCGCAUGAAUGCGGGCAGCUGGCGCAGAGCGGGAACGCGUGCGGGCGAGGGAGGAGGGGGUUUGGGCGGGUGGUCAGAAGAGGUCGUGGGUGUUGUCCGAACGCCUGCAAAGCCCCCCUCCAUGUUUGUCUCCAGUUUGCGGGAGAAAGUAUGUCCGAACCGUCUCCAAUGGACCAAUACAGGCCCGCAUUGGAUGGCACAACACGUCCGGACCAUGUGGUCCGGAUGGUUGUGGACAGUUUAAUUGAGGGUCGGCGUUGGAGAUACCUUAGAGUUUAUGAAUCCAUUGUGUUUUUCUAAUCAUAAAAAAGCACUUACAAUAAGUUAUAAGGAAAGACACGUUUAUAUGUUAGGUUCAGACUCCAGCUUUCGUUUUACAUAUGCUUUAUUCAUCCGACUGAUUCCAAUAGAGUGAGCCUAGCGUUGUUUUUCUGGAAACUCGCGGGAUAAGGAGACAUGCAUACACAUUCUUUCAAGCAAAUCACAUCCAUCCUUUUUAACUCAUUUUUCUUCUUUUAAUAAUAUAAUAGAUCAUUUAUAUUUUUAUCUGAAACAGUUGACGUGUAAUUUAUAUUGUAAUCUGAGGAUAAUGUUUGGAUUUUACUUUCAAAUAUAUUUGAAAUGGCCAUGAUGGAAUCACAUCCAUUUAUUUUAUUAUUAUUUGAAUUUGAUCCAAAAGAUAAAUAAUGAGUAGAGGUCAUGUCAACUUUUCUGAGAACUUUGCUAAUCAAAAUAUAAUUGUAUUUAAAAACAUCUAUUUUUUAGCACGCAUGAAAAAGAUAACACGUAUCUUUUCACACAUAAUGAACGGUUGUCAUAAGAACUCAUGCCAUGCCACAACCUCCCUCCGACCCUGCCAACAUUGUUGCAGCUGCACUCGCAAGCCUUAGCGUAGAUGAUAAUUUAUACAAUUUGCGUAAAACAAAAUAAGAUCUACAAAUGAAUAGAAGCUAGAACGUACAUUGGCAUGCACACACAUUGCAAGCCAUACUAAGCUGAUAAGUGUUAAUAACUUGUACAACAUAUACAACACUUAAGACAAGUAAAAGCAAUUUGAUGAGUCAUGGUCUAUCAAAGCCACAUUACUAGUCUAAUCCAUCUUAACAGGUCACACAUGAUUAAAAUCUUGUUUGUGUGCAAGUCAAGCUUAUCUAGUUUACAUGUAACAACUUGUAGAACAUUACAAAAUUUAUGUUUGCUAAUAACUUCUAGAACACUACAACACUUGACAUGUAAAAGGAAUUUGAUGAGUUAGCGUACUAAAGCAAGUUAUAUUACUAGUCUUAUCUACCUUAACAGGCCACACAAGAUUACAAACCAAGUUCUGUGCCAGCCAUGCUUAUCUAGAUUAUGCGUAACAAUUUGCAGAAAAUUACAAACUUAGUUUCAGAAAAAUAGGCAAUCUAGAUUAGUGUUUGAGCUGUAAAGUGAGUAAAAUGAGUCAUGCGUGUUAUCACACCUUUUUGGUUGUGGAAUGAUAGUGCAACAACAAGGAACUUUAAUGACCAGUUCAAGAAUACACUUGUAAGUAGUGCCACCGAACACAACAUACCAAAUUAUGAUUUUGAGAAGCAUCCAAGCACUUCCACACAAGCAAAUGCCAAUUGUGAAAGAGAUCAUGCCAUGGCAGCUAUAAAUAGGCCCGUAGCAUGACGAUCAUCCUUCCUCAUCCAUCAUUCUCAUAAGUAGAGCGCAUCAUUUAAGCCAAGCAAGCAGUGCUCAAUACAAAUCCACCAUGAAGACCUUUCUCAUCCUUGCCCUCCUUGCUAUUGUAGCAACCACCGCCACAAUUGCAGUUAGAGUUCCAGUGCCACAAUUGCAGCCACAAAAUCCAUCUCAGCAACAACCACAAGAGCAAGUUCCAUUGGUACAACAACAACAAUUUCCAGGGCAGCAACAACCAUUUCCACCACAACAGCCAUAUCCGCAGCCGCAACCAUUUCCAUCACAACAACCAUAUCUGCAGCUGCAACCAUUUCCGCAGCCGCAACUACCAUAUCCGCAGCCGCAACUACCAUAUCCGCAGCCGCAACCAUUUCGACCACAACAACCAUAUCCACAACCGCAACCACAGUAUUCGCAACCACAACAACCAAUUUCGCAGCAGCAGCAGCAGCAGCAACAACAACAACAACAAAAACAACAACAACAACAACAACAACAGAUCCUUCAACAAAUUUUGCAACAACAACUGAUUCCAUGCAGGGAUGUUGUAUUGCAACAACACAGCAUAGCGUAUGGAAGCUCACAAGUUUUGCAACAAAGUACUUACCAGCUGGUGCAACAAUUGUGUUGUCAGCAGCUGUGGCAGAUCCCCGAGCAGUCGCGGUGCCAAGCCAUCCACAAUGUUGUUCAUGCUAUUAUUCUGCAUCAACAGCAACAACAACAACAACAACAACAACAACCGUUGAGCCAGGUCUCCUUCCAACAGCCUCAACAACAAUAACCAUCAGGCCAGGGCUCCUUCCAGCCAUCUCAGCAAAACCCACAGGCCCAGGGCUCUGUCCAGCCUCAACAACUGCCCCAGUUUGAGGAAAUAAGGAACCUAGCGCUAGAGACGCUACCUGCAAUGUGCAAUGUCUAUAUCCCUCCAUAUUGCACCAUUGCUCCAGUUGGCAUCUUCGGUACUAACUGAGAAGAGAAGAACUCUAGUAGUAGAUAUAUGAUACACCGUUUUCUUAGUCCAUGGUUUGGUCGUUGUAGCGGUGAAAAAAUAAAGUGACAUGCACUAUCAUGUAAGAACCCGAACUAUACUAGUUCAAACAUGGGAAUAAAAGACAAACACAUGUCUUGUCUACAUAUGAUUGUUUGUUUGAGUUCCACUCAUGUGCCCACUCACAAGUUCACCCCUAAUUAUAUAUAUUAUGCAUUAAGUAGAUAUUUAUGUUGCAUUAAUCUAAAGAUAACAAAAUGAGUCUGAAAUUUGAAUUAAAUUGAAGUAUUUCCUUGGACUUUCAAAUGGAGUAUUAUUAAAGUAGUAAGGACUAUCCACAUCCUUGGCUUGCCCUUGAUCAAUUAUUUCCAGAGAAGCAUUCAAUUCAUUAAUCAAUUACAUUGAUUUUUGUGGCUGAUACUUUUCCUCAACAUGAGUAUAUUCAUCGCGGCUACUCCAAAUAGGCAUGAAUGAGGUACCGGUGCUCUGGAGCACUGGUACCUAACUGCUUCUCAUGUGAAGGGGUGGGGGUGCGGGAGAGGUGUUUUUGGUGGGCCAGGGGAGUAAGAAGCGGCCGUGGCAGCGGUCCAGACACCCACAAAGCCCCGUAGUUUGUUUUUGGUUUACAGGAAAAUGCACAUCCAGACCGGCCUGCGGGCCGAUAUAGGACCGUAUUGAAUGGCAAAACAUGUCCGGAUGGUUGCGAGCGGUUUAAGGGUUAGCUUUUGUAACGGCCGGUUAGUUAUGCUAUGGUAAUUCCCUGCUAAUGAUGUCACGUCAGCACGAUUACUGUUGUUAACCUCACAAUGAUUCAAUCCCAUUCAAAUUCAAAUUUAAAAUAAAGGCAAACAUCAAAAGUUUCAAACAUUAAAACUAAAAUCUUCGAGAGGUGAAAAAUAAUGCAUAAGUAAUUAUGGUGGAGAAACCACACUUUUAUAAAAUGUUUAAAUACUCUAAAAAUAAUAAAACAGUGGCUUAAACUAUUAUUUAAAUGCUUUUAAAAUAGUAAAAAUGUUCUAACUAAAUUAAUUGGGUACCAAACUUUUGGUGGCAGUGGUAUAUUUAGUAGAACUAAUUUAGAUGCUAAUAAAACAUAAAAGGAAAGACAAAACAAAUAAAAGUAAAAGGGGGCAACCCCUCGCUGGGCCUCGGCCAAGCUGGCCACUGGGCUAGCUAGGUUGGCCCAACCGCCUCCCUUAACCCCCCACUCCCCAUCGAACCCUAGACCGAUCGCCCCACUUCCCCACACCCCCUCGUCAGCCUCCCCACCUCUCGAUCCCAUCUGGAUCGGGGAGGGGAUCGCCCCCAUCGACCCCGUCGCGGUCGCUGGAUCGCCCGCUCGCCCAUCGCCCGCCGGCGUCGCCGGACCUCCUCCCCGUCGCACGUCUCCGGCUCUCCUCCCCUCUCGCUCCUCUUCCCCGACCCGAUCUGGAUCGGGAAGGGCCAAUGAGCCCAACGCCCCCCUCCAUCGACGCUGUGCUCCAGCACCGCCGCCCGAAGACCUCGCCAUCGCCGGACCUCGCGUCGCCUCCUCGUAUCCCUCCCCGACUCGCCUCCUCAAGCCACGCCGACCCCCUUCUCGGCAACGCUGUGAGCCGCCUCCGUUUCCCUCCUUCUCUUUCCACCGUGUUCACCGCGCCGCCUGCCGUGCCCCUCGCCGCGCGCACGCCCACCACCGCGCCAGCCCCCGCUCCGCGCCCUCUCCUGCACGCUUGUGCGCGCAUGACCCUAGCCGCGCCCACGCCGUGAUCCCCUUGUCCCGCCCGCCUUCGUCCCGCGCUCGCCGCGGCCCCCAUGCUCCCCUGCGCCCUCUUUUGGGGUCGUCGGCUGCCCCUGUCCCGCAGCUCGCUGGCAUGCGUCCCCGCC